GAUUGCGGGAGGUUUCAGACACUUUAUUAUCCCUAUGCGCAUGUCGUGGCAGCCUUUGCUCGCACCUUAAUCAAUGUUGAACAAUUUAUCACUGAGGUGUACACUCUCGAGUGCACAUUGCGUGUCUGGGAAAAUGAGUUUCCUAUCUUGCCUGAUCUGUCUACAUGGGAGGUGCCUUCGAUGAUUUUCGAACUUGUUUCAGGUAAAGGUUUACGUAAGAAUCCGAAAGGUCGUCCGCAAGUGACCAGAAUCCAUAAUGAAAUAGACAUUAGGGAGAAAAUCGACGAGUAGCUUUAUAGUGUGUGCAAAGUAGCUGGGCAUAAUCGGAUUAAAUGCCCGCAAUGAACUUAUCAUAUUGGACAAUCAUCACGAUUGGGUAGGAAUUGAGCUAAUGUACUCCAUUAUGGAUUUUGGAUAUAUAUAUUACAUAGUUUGUUCUAACACAUCUCAUUUAAAACUAGAAAGUUUGUUCCAAGUUUUUUCCAACACAUCUCAUUUAAAAUUACAAAGUUUGUUCGAAAUUUGUUCCAAUAAUUCUCAUUUAAAUUUCAAAUUUUUUUAUUUUUUAUUUAUAUUUUUGCAUGUAUAUAAGUUGAUAAUAUAUAUCUUAAACACCAUCUUAUUUAAAUUUAGUACCAAAAAGCCCAAUGUUUGUUCUAAGAGAAUUAAGUCGGAUAUAAACUUGAAAGUUAAGUAAAAAUGAGUUUAAAUACUCAAAUUUUACUAUAAUUAAAUAAAUACAAACUUGAUCAUUGAAAUUAUAUGUGCUCGUGGUAAAUCGUUGUGGUAGUCGCCAUUCACAUUACAUGUGCUCAUGGUGAUCAACAUUAUCCUUACCCGAACCUGGGGAUGUGCUAAACAUAGUAAAAAAAUCAUAUGCCCCAAACUUUUUCCCAAGAGGAGUGGAGUAAUGUAAUGGUAAUGGGCUGAAGAUAUCAAACCUCAUCGAUGAUCUCAGAUUAGGUAGAUUAGAACUGGAUCUGAGAAACUCUGAUGGCUUGACGAGCUCGAGAAAUAGUCAUCGACCCCCAAUUUCGAAUGAUAAGAACUAUCCCUAGACCGUGUAUAAGACCACUCAGGGUCGAGCAUCGACUCGGGCGAGGGCUUUGGCUCUGGCUCAGGUGUAAAAUGCGGAUUUGGAAAAGGAUGGAAAGGUUGCCCAAGUCAUGGCAUAUGCGAGGAGACUACCAUCGAUUGCCCACCAAAUAAAUACAAUUUCCCCAUCUCAGAGUACCACUGUAUGUACUCUAACAAGGGCUACAAAUCGAAAGAAAGAACCAUGUAAGGUUUCUGUCCCAUCCGGUUGUUCCACACCACAAUAUAUUGUUGAUACACUUCCGUCCAAUUAUUUCCCUAUUUUCGCCUCUUGUUAAUCUCGUGGAUCUUCCUCAAUUGCACUAGCGAUGCCGAGAUAUACUGUAUGCAUUCGAACUACCAUAGUACUCAAUCCCCGUUAUACCACUCCACUGUCUAGAAAUUGAUAAUGAGUAUGUUAAUGCACAACAGGUGUGAGUGUAUGUGGGAAAAUGAAGGGAAAAAAACCAUAAUUUCCAAGAAGUAAUAGGGCAUCCAGAUGAACUGCACAAUAUUGGAAUAGCUUUCCCCUUUCUUGGCAUGUGUCUCAAUCAUCAGACGAUAUAACGAAACCGUGUAUGACCUCUCGAUACCUGGAUUAGUACUCCAUCUAUGAAAAUAAAAAUACUUGUUAGAAUAAUAUCAUUAGAAAAAAAUGUCAAAUAAUUGCUAUAAUAGGUAAAAUUUUAUCACAUAUUCUCGAGUGGAAAUACAUAUGCUUGGUAACUAACCGAUGCCGAGAAUGACAUCCGGUAAAGCGCCUAAGAUUGUAGCAAUAUGAGGCAUCUUCCUAUGUCCACGGUAAAAGGCUUUGUUGUCCGACAAAGCUUGCGAUACAACAUAGCUAAUACUGCGGAACCCCAACCAUACGAACAAAUGUUAUGCAAAUCAGUUCACAGGGGCAAGUACAUCAAAUGGACCUUGUUGUUGUUUGCAUCUGGUAUGAGUACAUCCCUUAUAAUGUGCAUAAUGUACACUCAAGCAAUGCAUAUCACCUCCCACUUAGUGGCAGUAAUCGGUAAAUGCUCGAAAUUGGCCUUCACCCAUGAAAACCUCAAACCCAUAAUUUUCAACUCAGUAUCACCAGGUGAGACUCUCAGUAGGUUAUAGCAAAGGGCGGUUGACUUAGAAAUUAUACUUACGCCCGUUACCGCACUCCCGUUGAUUAAGAGCCCGAGUUACAGUGCAACAUCCUCCAGGGUGAUAGCUCACUCCCCACACAACAAAUGAAAAGUGUAGGUAUCCGGGUGCCACCGCUCGACCAAAGCGGAUAUUAAGUUAUACCACAAAUCAAACUUCCAGAUCAAUGCCGCUGAUUUGAAUCUGGCUGACUCCAAGUAUGACAUCAGUUGUAACGCCCUGAAUAAUUUAAGUCUGUUUUUAUGAAAUCUAACACAAAGGUGUAUCUGCUUCAAUGGUUAAGUGUUCUGGGUAUGUGUAUGAGGUCUUGGGUUCAAGUUCCACAUUUGGAGAAAUUUUGUUAUUUUUUAUCCAAGUCUUAUCCCUAUCGGGUGGGCUUAUAAAAUAUUAUUUGUUAACUCAGAUCAGAAUGAGCCUGCUGGUUCGAGUGGUAAGGGGUUAGUGUGUUAGAGGUCUUGUGUUCAAAUUUUUGCGCGAGCGUGAGUGUUAAUUUUUGUUUCGGAUGCUCGAUAAAAGUUCGAUGGAAUUGAAAUUUUGAGGUAGUUGGAUAUGGAUUAAGGUGUUGGAUUUGGUGGGAUUAUGUUGUUAGUGGGGGAGUUAGGAUUUUGUUAAUUUUUAUUUAUUUUACUUUCUUUUUAAUUUUUAUAUUUUCCCAAAAACCUCUCCCAUUUCUGACAUUUUUUUUGUUUCCCUCUAUUAAUUUUCUUUAUUGUUCUUCAUAUCGAUUUCUAUCUUCAUCUCCCUGUUAAAUUUGAGGAGUUUCGGUUCCCUAUUCGUCAUACGUUUGGUAAGUGGUGGUAGUAAGGUUUUUGCUCAAGUUAGGGAGAAUUAUUUUAAAUUCAUUUUAAAAGGAUGUUGUAUUUUUUUUAGUUCUGAUUUUUGGGUUGUUGGCAGCAACAAAUCGUGAGGAUUAGAGCUUUCCUUUUGUGUAAUCGUAGUAUCGGGGAUCGUUCGAAAAGUUGGGUAAGUGAUGAACGCUUGGGUUUCGCUGUGGUCAAUUUUUUAUUUCGGUUCAAUUGAGGAUGUAAGACUGAUUUUGGGACGUGUUUUGUCAACUUUUUUAGGUUCUAGUGGUCUCAGGAUUAUUUUCGCAGCAAAAACGAACCAGGUGUGCACCCUAAACACGAAAAAUAGAGGUUCGGCAAAAGCCAAAAAAGUCACUGUAGACGUGUGCCUGGCCGUGUGUGAGACACAGUCGUGUGUCUGACGAAGGCGUAGCCGUGCGCAAGACACGACCGUGUGAUAGUGCUUGUGUGGCCGUGUGAGCAUAUGGGCUAAACCAGAUUGGCGUGUGGGUUCUGGACAGGGCCGUAUGGGCCACACGGACAAGGCCAAUUUGGGCGUGUAGGCCCAGAUGAGCAAGCCACACGGGCAUGUGGGCCCAGAAUUCUAAAAUUUUCCCUAGGGUCGCAUGAGUCGUUCCAAUCGACUGUAGACCUAUUGUAGGGUCGGUAAGAGCUAACCAAACCCUAAUUCAUGGGAUUUGAUAUUCUGAAAGUUUGAUUCGAGUAGGACACUGAUAUAUAUGUAUGACUAUUCUGUUUGAAUGUAUAUAUAUGUUAUCUGUAUAUGAGCAUGUUAGGCACAUUAAUUAUGCUAAUUCUGAAUUUCGUAUCUAUGUUUGGGGUGAGAUUUGUAUAUGUGGAGGAAGUGAUCUGUACGACGACCUUUCGCCUAUAUUCUGGUAGCUCGACUGCAUAUUAUCAGUGAUGUGUCACAUCAACACUAUAUGGUGUGUAGGGAUGGGUGAGUGUUUUUAACCCCACAUUAUGUGAUGGGAUGGACGGAGAUGGUGUGUAGAGGAUGGGAGUAGGAUUCUGUAUAUCUGUUAUGUUUAUCUGAUUCUGAUAUCUGUAUCUAAUAUGGACUUAGGUCCAAAUUUGUAUCUGACUGUAUAUGAAAUAUGGUGUAUGUUGCAUGGCUAUUUCUGUUAGGUUACACACUGAGUUUACGUAAACUCACAUCUAUUUGUCUGUUCUGUUCAGGUAAUCCACUGACUUAGAUGGGUCGCUGGGACAGAGUCUCAAUGGUGACUACUUGAUCGAGAUCUGUUUUUAUUUAGUGAUAAUGGUUUUAUUUUAAAAUCAGGCUUUCUUGAAAGUUCGUAAUUUUUGGGACUUUCUAGACUGUAUGGUUUGAACUUUUGGAUUUGGAUUUCGUUUUGCUUUCUUUUUCGUAACUUUGACAAAAGCAAUAUGCGAACAAAUGGUUUUUGGAAAAACGAGCAUGGUUUUGUGUUAAAUGAUUUCCAAACUUUCACUGCGAAAUAAACGGUUAAUUUUAAAGAAAAACUUAAAACGGUUUCAGUAAUGUAUAUGUAUAAACGAAUAUGUUUUAUAACACCUGGACGAUUUAUCAAAUAACUAAACAUGAUUUUAUCGAAAUACUGUCAGUUUCAUCACACUUCAUCGUAACACUACCAGAUUCGGCCAUAACGUUUAGGCCAGGUUUGAGGUGUUACAUUAGUCGUUCAUUCGACAGAUAUCCUAAAUCAUUCACACGGCCCCUCAAUACGUGGUACAGGCCCUAACACUAUUAAAUUAUAGAAAUAGUUAAUAUAACCUAAUUUAAUUCCGUAAAUGACGUGGAUCUUUUUAUAAGGGGACCCGUGAGUAACAAAUAAUAAUUUUAUUACCAUCUUAGUAACCAUUUUGAUAUGUGAUCAUCAUCGUUAAUCAAAGAACUCAUUUAGAUAUCUGCAAUUUAAAAAAAUGAGUUCAAUUAGUUUGUUGCAAAAAACACAUUUCGGUAAUUAAUUUGUAUUUGAGCCUUUUUAUCCCACUAAUAGGAAAAAUAUUAUUAAAGUGCAGAAAUGUGACACCCUAGCACGGAGUUGCGAAUAAAACAUUUCGAUAAUUAAUUUCUAAUGUGGUCCAUUUUAAAUAAUUAUCAAAACACCUAAAUGUAAUACAAUAAAUAUAGUACAAUAAUGUCAUUACAAAAAUACUAAACAAUCUUGUCCACAUCACAUUUUUGUUAUACUAUUGUAGUAUAUAAUAAACUUAUUUAUAUUGGUUCAGUAAUUAACAAAAUAAAAAUAUCUCAUAAAUUCCAACUCAAUGGUCCCAUCUUUUACCUACAUAAAAAAAUUAAGUUAAAAUAAAAGAAACUAUCAAAAUAAAAUAAACCUAAUUGGACUAUAUGUUGUUAUCUCCAUCUAAUAUUAAACCAAAAAAAAAAUAUGCCCAUCAAAAAAUAUAACAGUAACAUACCUACGCACUUUCUUUCAAACAACCUUCCUUUCUUACAAAAAUAAAACCUUACAAAGAUAAUUUAAAAAAAUCAAAAUCUCAAUAAAUCAAAAACAUUUGUCAAAUAAUUCAAAAAAAAAAUUUAUAACCUAUAAAUCACAAUAAACACUAAAGUAAACAAAUAAUUUAUAAAUACUAAAAAAUUACCUCUUUCUAUCUUUUCUGUUAAAACCCUAAAUGAAAUCCUCUUUUGAUCUUUUUUAACCUUUUUUAAACACUAAAUAAAGCCCUCUAAUCCUUUUUUAACCCUAAACAAAACACCUUAAUCCUUUUUUAGACCCUAAUCAUAGCCCUUUAAUCCCUCUUUUUAUUCAAACACUAAACUCUAACAAAACCCUUUUCUUCAAACCCCAAAUCCCUAACAAAAUCUUUUUUUUUCAAUUCUCAUUUCCUUCUCUUUUAUUUCUAUUCUAUCUUCUCCUUCUUCUCUUCUCUAUUAUGCUAAUGUUCUCUUUUUCUUUCUUUCUUUUUUUUCAGUAAACUUUUUCUUUCUUUUUUUCCUUCUCAUUCUCUUCUCUUCUCUUCUAAAUCUGUUUUCUUUUUCUUUUUUUCACUUUGGGGGACCAUGGCUAUAGGGUCCCUCGAAACCCUGAAUUCACGAAACCCUUAAAGGUCUCGUCCCAUCACCACGUAGCACAACCACAGGAGGAGUCAGGGCUGACACCGGUGCUGCCUGUCAGGAGGACUUCACCAAUGCUGCCUAACUCGCAACCUUCACCAUAUUCUUUUUCGAUUUUCUAUUUGUAUUUGUUUUGUAUUUGUUUUGUAUUUGUAUUUAGGUUUUGCAGUUGGGUAUUUUGGUGCCACCAAUGAAGAAGGCUUGACCAAAAAAAUUGUUUUUUAACUGAUUACUGACGGUUGUUGGAAAAUAGGGAUGGUGUCGCCUCUGCACCACCCUCCACCAUACCAAACACCCCAUUCCCGUAAUUAAUCGAUCGGGGUGAGAUACCAUUUUCGAAAUUUUUAAAUUUUAUUAUAUUAUAUACGUAAAAAAGCUUAAUUUACCCUUAAUUUUAUUUGUUGGUGCAAGGGUGAAGUUGUUUGUUGGGCUUAAGAAUGUUAAAUAUAUCUGGAACUCUGGACUGGUUGCAAAAGUAGCAAAAAGUGUAAAAUUAAUGUCAAAAUUUUAUUUAUUACAUAUAUAUUAUAAUAGUUCAGCAUAAAAUAAAGAAUAGCUAGUACGAAUUUAAACUUAAAAUUAGAAAUAAGAGUAAAACUCUUGUAAAAAAAAGACAUUUUCAAAAUAAGUGUAAAAUUUUCAUUUUCUUUGCUAAAAUAAGUCAUGGGAGUACCUAAAUAUUAUCAAUUGAAUUAGUUUAUACCUAACUCAUAUACUAAAAAUAUGUAAAAAUAAUAAUAUUCCUACCAAACAUAACAUAAGUGUAAGUGGGUUGUUAUUUGAAUUCAUUUAUAUUCGUUAUAAUUAUAAAUUUAGCUCUUAAUGUUUCUUAUUUGGCUAUUCUAGUUUUUACUUAUUUUUUUAAUCAUUUUGGCCCUCAACCUCUACAAUCUAGUCAAAUUACUUUAUUUUUUUAUGGAUAAUUUUAAUAGAAUUGACAUGACAACUCGUGUAGCUAUUUAUGUAUACUUUACUCCUAAUAUUGAUACUUUUUCUAAAAAAAUUACAAACUUAUAGAAUUUUGUUGAAUUUAAAAUAUUUUUGACUAUUUUUAAAAUAUUUUUGACUAUUUUCUGAACAUUUAUGAAUUAUAAGUGGACUAGCACCAGAAUGGCCAAAUCAAGGUCGUUAAAAUUUUAAUAGUUCAGUUAGUUUUUUCCAUAAAAAAGAAGCAAUUUGAUUAAAAAUUGAAAGUUAAGGGUCAAAGUGAUAAAAAAGAAUAAGGAUGAGAAAAUAAGUGAAGAUUUAAAGUUAAAUUUAUGAUUAUACUUUUAUAAUUUUGGGGUAGUGGGUUAUUCUAGGCUCUUAAUUACACAUGUUAGAUAAGUUUGGUGGAUAUGAAUAGGAUGAAUUUAAAUUUUGAAAAUUUAGAAUUAUUUCAAACUUAUAUUAAUUUCUAAUUUGAGUACUUUCGAAUUCAAUCAUGUAUGUUCCUUACUCAAAUUAUUUUAGUUUGAUUAUUCAAAUUGUUAUGGUCCAAUUUCUUAAUUUUAAAAUGAAUUUAGAUCAAAGUUAAAUAAAUUAUUUAAUCAAGUUGAAUUUAUCAUAAAUUUGAUAAUUUUUAAAUAAAAUAUAUAUUAAUUUGUUAUCAUAUCACACACAAAUAUAUAUGUAUAUAAUAUAAGUUAUUAUAAUGUGAUGUGUUGAUUAUAAUUAAAGUAAUCUUAAAUCUUUUCGUAAAAAAUAUUUUUAAAUAAGUUCUUAAAAUUUUAAAUUGUAUCGAUUAAAUUUUUUGACCAAUAUUUUUCGUCUCUAAUCACUACAAUACUGAUAUCGCGCUUUAUGUUAGCAGCAAAAAAUUAAAAAAUUCAAUUUUCUAUAAAAUAAAAUAUUAUUUAAAUGUUUUACUAAACAGUUUGUUCAAGCUUAAUUUUUUUUAAAUAUUAAAUAAAAUUCAAAAAGUUAAAAAAUUAAAAAUUAAUAAAAAGCAUUUAAAAACUUAAGUUCAAAAUCCACCAUUUUUAAAUUAUAUAAAAUUUUAAAAAAAUUCUUCAAAAAUAUGAUAGGUAUAUUAAUGUUUUAAUUUUGUUGGUACCUUUUAGACUGUAUAAAAUUUUUAAAAAUUAUUAAAAUUUUUAAAAAUUUUAAUAAAAUAUAAUAAUGUUUUAAAAAUUAAGUUUCUCCACGAAAAAUGCACUCAAUUAAACCCUCAAACUCUCAAAUUGCAUUAUUAAACCCUUUAACUAACGUUUUUCAUCUUUCACUGUUAUAGCACUAACGUGGCACUCCAUGUCAACAAUAGUUGUUGACGUCAGCAAAAAUAAAGAAAAUUAAAAUUUAUAAUUUGGUAACACCGUCUUUAACUUAAUCUAGACUUAAUUUUUAAAUGGAUUUUUAUUAAUUUUAAAUUUUUUUUAAAUGGAUUUUUAAAUGGAUUUAAAAAUCCAUUUAAAAAUCCCUGUUCUCUCAAAUUUGCUAUUCCUUAAUUUUUAAAUGGAUUUUAAAUUAUAGAUACUAACGUGUACGUAUUAAUACUAAAAAUAAAAUGAUUGCAGUCCCUGUUCUCUUUUAACUUUUGAAAUAUAGUCCCUCUAUUUUUAUAUCCUAAAAUUUAAUCUCUCUACUUCUUAUUUGAAAAAUUAAAGUCCAAUCAAUAAUACCAUUAAUGGGUUCCAUUAAAUUUGAAUAUAUGAGAUUUUAAUAUUAAUUUUUAUUUAAAAAUUAAAAUCGUAAUAUUCACAUUUAAGAAAAGUUAAUUAAUAAUGUUAUCGAUAAGAUUUUAAUUUUUAAAUCAUACAAACAAAGGGAUUAAAUUUCAAAUUUUAAAGAGUAUAAGGACUAGGAUCAUAAUUAGAGUUUCUUCUUUUAAUUUAAUAACAUUAUUGGGUAUUCUUUUCUAUAACAAAAUGUGAUUUUUUUUAAAUAGGAAAAUAGAAAUGAGAUUUAUUAGCAGUGUAAAAUAAAUAAAUAAAUAAAUAAAAAUGGUAUACUAAUUUUUUUUAAAACUUUUUUACAUACAUACAUAUCCUUUUCACUUUCAAAUAUAUUUUUCAUUUUUUUUUCAGUUAUACAUUUUGUAGAUACAAAUACAAUAGUAAUAUUUUUAUUAGAUUAUUAUCAAUUAUGAUUUUAGUAAAAAAGAGGGCCAAUGUCAAAAUCAUAUGCAUUAUAUUUUUUUCAUAAAGUUUUAAUUUAUACUAUUUUAAUUGCUGUUAAUUAUUUGUUUCUCAAAGCUAAAUAAAUCCUUGUUUGAAAUUUAAUUAUUAAAAGAAUAUAAUGUAUGUUUAGUUCAUUUAAUCAUUUUUUAAUACAUAUAUAUAUAGACAUAGACAAAUAAAAACUCUUGUAAAAAUAAAAUUUCUUCAAAACAAAUAAAAAGUAUUUCUUCUCUUUGCUAUAAAUAAAUCAUAUGACUAAAAAUUACCAAUUGUGAUUAGUUUAGAGCUAACCAAUGAUUAAAACAUGUGAAAACAAUUAUACUCCAAUCAAAUGUAGCAUGAAUGUUAUUACCCGAGGCUAAAAAGUAAUUAUAUUUAAUAAUCAUUAUUAAAGUAUUUAUAUCUUAAGUUUAAAUUUGCAUUUUAAUAAUUAAUUAUAACGAAUUAUAAGAUAAAUUGAAAUACAAUCAAAAUAAAACAUUAAAAAAAAUUAAAACACAAGGCGGUAUAAAAAGUAACAAGAAAACAAAAUAAAGAUAUAAUUGGUAUGAUCUAAUGUUGAUGAAUAACUAAUUUAAAUAUAUCAUUUAAAGAUAAUUACAUAUAAAUCCUAAAUAAUUAUUUACUCCUUAAUUAAAAGUAAAAUAAAAUAAUUGUUUGAAUACUUUUAUUUUUCCUAACUGGUCGCAUGUAAAUCUUAAAUUAAUUAACAAUUAAUGUGUGAAAUAACUCUUGUAGGUACACAUUUAAAAAUAAAAAUAUUUUUCUGUAAAUUGAGUAAUUAUAACAAAUUAUUUAAAAUCAUACGAGUUUAGUCCACAAACAUGAAUAUAACUGUUUUUUUCCUAAAUUGAAUCAAGACUACAAAUUAUGAAAAAUAUUAAAUGAUAAAACGUACACAAUAUUUUAAAAAAAUUAAAAUAUGAAAAGUUGAAAACGAUAUCUUAAACUAUGCCUUCAAGCUAAAAAGAAAAAAAGAAAAAAAAAAGUAAGAUUCUCUUUCGUAAAAGUACCAUAACCACUCUUAUAUUAAGAGUUAAAUUGUUUCUUGUUCCCUUUAAUAAAAAAAUAAGUAAAUUAGUCUUUGUAUAUUAAAUCAAAGAGUAAAUUAGUCUUUCCUAUUAAAGUUUUUAUCCAUUUCUAAUGUUAAAAACUGACAUAGUAGACAAAAUAACCAAACAACCACGUGUACCUUAUAUUGAUGUAUAUGAACUAGUUUUUAACAGUAAAAAUGGAUAUGAUUUUUAACAAAAGGAUCAAUUUGUUCUUUAAUUUAACAUAUAAGGACUAAUUUGCACUUUUUUUUCAAUAAAGGGUGCAAAUAUAAUUCAAUUCUCAAUAUAAAGGCCUCCAUGAUAUUUUUACGGAUUCCUUUUUUAUAUUCUCUUUGAAAUCUUUUCUGAGCAACCUCUUGCCCUCCACAAUUUGAUUCCAAGACAUCUUCACCUCUCUUUGGAUAAUCAAUCCAAAAGGCUAAGGGGGUGUAAACAUUAUUGAUUUGAAUGUAGCCAAGGUUGGAAGAUAUUUGGGGAUAAGAAUUCCACUAUAGAACUAGGAGAUCAUCGCUCUCUCAAACUUCUUGUAGAGGUUCUUGGAAGAUAUAGUAUUGUAAUCUUUUUUCUUUUUCGAAUAUAGACUUCACCAACUCAUCAUUAAAAACUUAUUUUCAAUCCAUGGUCAAAUCAAAUUAAAUUUAAAUUCAAAACUUUUGUAGGUCAUUCUUUCAUUCAACUCUUUGGAUGCCUAGUAUGGCAUGUUUACGCCACUACAAGAAGUCUUUGAAGUUGGAAAUUUGGUUGGGUUUUUGCCUCCAAUGAACCCACUAGGUUCUUCUUUCACAAAUAUAACAUUGAUUUUCCUUUUUAUCUUAAAAUAAUUGAAUUACUUUUCAAGUUUAGGAACCUGGCCGCUGAUCUUCAUAUUCAUUUCUCUCUCUUUAUAUAUCGGGUUAAAAUAGUUACCAUGCAAGUUUACGUGUGCUUCAAGAUUUAAUUAGAAUUAUUUAGUUAUUCUUAAUUAACUACCAUUGUGAUUAUAUGCUUUUUAUUAUUUAUAUGUGAUUUAAUCUAGUCCUUGCUAAGAGUAUAAUUGUCUUCCUUGUUGCAAUAGGCCACUAACAUGGAGCAGUAUAGUUUUGAAAACCUUGGAUCUAAUUUUGCAUUUUUUUUAAAUUAUUGCAUUGGUUAGUGAAUGUCAACAUUUGUGCACAUGAUUAAGGUAAAACAAAAGAUACUUGUAUCUUUGUAAUAAGCUUUGGUUGAUUUUCUAGGUCUCUCAACUUGGUAAAUUCAUUAUUUUCUAUGAUUUUGAGUUUAGAUGUAUGGCUUUUCUCAAGUUGAGUCUUUGUGUGUUGUUAGUUGCAUCAAUCAUUUAUAGCUUUUGAAGUGUUGUGUGCUUUCAUGCAUUUAGAGUAUUGGUACUAAUGUUGGUGAGAUUUGGGCAAAAAGUUCUAUGUGACAUGGAAUUAUUAGAGAUUGACUCAAUCUUCUUCCUUUUCCUUUUGUUUUAUUUUGGUUUUUAGAUUAGAAAUUGAAAUAAUAAAUGAUGAAGAAUAGAGUGCAAGAUGAUAUUAUCUUAUCAUUAAAAGUUAGUGAGCUCACAUUGGCAUUUUGUAACUUUGCAUAAGUUAAAGCGUUAAUGGAUCGACAACUCAUCUAAAUUUAAAAGGGUUAGAAAAUGUUGUUCUUUUUAAAGUAAAAGCACGAAGAAAUUGGGAGAAACUUCAAUUGAAAAAUAAUUGAGAUACAUUAAAAAAUGAAGCUUAUGGAAUGAGUUGCUUAAUAAUUUUAUAGGUUUAUGAUGGUAUUUAUUUAAAAAGAUUGUUGAUGCUAUUGAAAUACAGGUUUGUAUUACAUGUAUCAAUAUUUUACUAUGUCAAGUUCGUUGAAAUUAAUAAUUUACAUUGUUAUGAAAUCUUCAUUAUAAUGUUUAAUAUUUCACAUAUUAUGUAGAAAAAUCUUGAUUUCAAAAGAUUUAAAAAAGGAAGAAAUUGAACCACAUUUGAAUUAGUUAAUGUGACAAAUAUUUGGUGGCAUUGUGGCUACUGAAGAACAUGCACAGGCACCUUCAUUUGGUGUUCUUCUAAAUGAAGCUUCUAUGAAAGAUCUACACGUGUUGAGGGAUCCAUGAUUCAAAUAAACAUGGAUUGAGAACUAUGAUAUUCUUAAUCUUGAGAUAGCUUUAAAACCUUCUCUCGAAACUUCUAAUCAGGAUAAAGCAAUGCUUGGGAUUGUAUAAAAUAAAGGUUAAAGUAUUAAUUCCAAAUAAAAUAUUAAUAAGAAAGAUAUUGACUACACAUGUUGAGAAAUUAUGUUAGAAUAUGACUAAUCAAAGGAAAUUGGUGAAUGCAAUUGUUUUUUUCUCAUUCUCAAUACAUUGUUUUAGAUGCAAUGGAUGUAAUGUGUGCUUUGAAAAAUUCAAAUUCCAAAAAGUCAUUUUCUCAAUAAGAAAGAUCAAUAAGAAAUUCCAAAUAAAAGAUCAAUAAGAAAGAUAUUGUAAUACCUCGAAAUUUACUACAGUAAGAAAGUAAGAUAGUAUCCUUGAUAUAGUAAAAUAAGGAAAUAAAGUGACAAAAAGGGAAAUUUUGAGUUAUGCCAACAUUGGGAAGUAUAUUAUGACAUAUUAAUUCAAGAAAAUAUUAAAUCGAAAAAGUGAGAAAAGUUUUGUUGCCCAAAAGUAAAUACUUAAAAUUUGAGGGGUUAGAGUGUAAAUAUGAAAAAUUUGAAUGUAACAACCCAGACCCGGCCUAGACGUUAUGGCCGAAUUUGACAAUGUCACAAGGUAUAUAGUGCUUUUCGAAAAAUAUGUCGUUGCUAAGUCCCCUUUUCUAUUUAACCAUUUUUUUCAUUAACUUAUGUUAAUUUCAAAUCAUGUCGUUCGUUUCCAAAACAUUAUUCAUUUACAAAUCGUUAUUCAAUUUCAAAACGUUUUCUUAUUGCGGAAGCUUUUAAACAGUUUGCGUAUUCAUGGUAUUUUUGAUAAAACAUUAAUUUAAUUUGAAAACCCGAAUUUUACCUAACACUAACAGAUUUAAAUCAUAAAACCGUAUAAAAACCAAAUUUAAACCAAAAUCUGUAAAGACCAUAAAUACAGCAAAAUACGCCCAAAUAAAAGUAAAAUCAUAAAUAGGUAAUAAACAGUGUAAAAGAAGUCGUGUGGGCACCAUUGAGUCCUCCGCCGCACCAAUCUGCCUAAAUCUAGGGAUUACCUGUACAGAUUAAACAGAAGGGGUGAGUUUACGUAAACUCAGUGUGUAAUCCCCAUACAAAUGAACAGACAAUAAACAGAUAAUCACAGUUUGGACUUAAGCCCUUUUCAGUAUCAGUAUCAGUCCAGUUUGGGCCUUAGCCCAUCUCAGUACAAAAAUAGUCAUGCAGCAGGGCUUUAGCCCAUCACUGUAUCAGUAGCAGUAAUAGAUAUGCAGUCACAAAAAUCCUACCCAUCCAGCCUCUACACACCAACUCCGUCCAACCCUACACUCCGUGUGGGGAUAUAAUCAACUCACCCAUCCCUACACUCCAAGUAGUACUGAAUGCAGCACUAGACAGUAGUUUGCAGCUGAGCUGCCAGUAAAUUAGGCUCGAGGCCUUUCAGUACACUUCCUCCGAACAUUAUAAUCCCCCAAUCCAAUGUAAUGCAAUAUACAGAUAUGCCAUGCUAUAACAUAAUAUCAUGCGUGUAAACAGGGCAUACAGUAUCAAAUCAGUGGGACAUCAUCAGGCUUAGUCAUAUCAGUCAUACAGUCAUUUUAGUCAAUUAGGGGUCUAUGUAAACUUACCGACCCUAUAAUAGGUUCAUAGUCAACUUGGGCGACCCGUGCAACCUUAUCAGUCAAACAGUGAAAAUGGGCCUACAAGCCCAUGAUGUUCACUUGUGUGGGCCUACACGCCCGUAUGGCCCACAUGACCCGAAUUGGCCUUGGCCUAGUGAUCCAUUUUAAUGUAACCCGUGCUAGUUAAUUAUUCAUAUGUGUUUUCACUAUUUACUUAUAUGAUCCUUCAAAGCUGUCUACUUGAGUCACUGUUACUAAAUUAUUUGUAUCUUAAGAUAUAAAUUCUGAAUUAAGAUCCGCAAAUUUUCCCUGAAACCAGACUCAUAUAUCUUUUUACCAUAAAAUUUUUAGAAUUAUUGGUUUAUCCAAUAAGUACAUUUUCAUUCUUUAAAAUUUCCCCUGUUCUGUUGUCUAACAGUUUUGACCUUUUUGCACUAAAAAUUAAUUAUCUUCUCGUACAGAAUUUGGAUGAUGUUCAUGUUUAUUUCUCUUGAAAUUAGACUCAUCAAAUAUUUUAAACAUAUAAAUUCUAACCCGUAAUUAUUUUUAUACAAUUUUUAAUAAUUUUCCAAAUUCAGGACAGGGGAUUCCAAAAUUAUUCUGACCCUGUCUCACUAAAAUUUAAAUAUCUCAUAAUAUAAAAUUAUUUUUCUUACUUUGUUUCUUCUAUGAGAAACUAGACUAAAAUAUAUUUAAUCCCAUAUUUUUUCAUCCUCUAAUUCAUUUUCCACAAUUUAUGGUUAUUUUUCAAACUUAGCCUACUGCUGCUGUCCAAACAGCAAGCAAUUUCAGGUUUUUGUCGAAUCUCUUAUUUUUGUGUUUCGGGUACACACCUGGUUUUGUUUGAUGCUAAAACAGUCCCCGAGCACUCCAAAGCCUAUAAUUGAACAAGUAAUGCCAUAAUCAGUCUUACCUCACGAUUAAUCAAAAUCCCGAAACCAAAAUACUUACCCAUAAAACUUCAAUCGGUACGUUUACAAAAAUCACGAGGAGAGCCUUAAUCUUCGUGAAAUGCUGCUGCCAACACCCCGGAAUUAGACUAUUGAACACAAAAUAAUAUCUUAAAAUGAUACCCAACAACUUACUGAAUUUGAACAAGUGCUGCUUAAUGCUACGAAAUCAAUAGGAAAGAAUGGUUUAGGUGAAACAAGGGAAUUUCGAUAGUAGAGGAAAGAAAAGAAAAGAUAAUCGAGUAAGAAGCAAAGAAGAAAAAAAUUGGUAGAUAUGGGGGAGAGAAAACAUCAGAAAGAUGGAGAGAAAAAUGACUCUCUUUUUUUCGAAAAAGGAAAGUGAUCAGAUUUUAGAUAUUCUCCCCCAUAAUCCCCUAAUUCACUCCUAAAAUCAGUCCCUUACUUCCUAUUACACAUCUACCACUCAGAAACCCAGUUCAGCACAACUUUUGUCAAAACUAGGAGCAAAAAUACAAUCUUUGCUGUCCCAAAGAUUCAAACCCAUGACCUCCCUCACACCAACACUCCACUUAUCCACCAAGCCAGCAAGCCCAUUCUAUUAAUUAUUUGCCAACUUUUACUUAAAAUCCUAUUGGUCAAAGAUGGGGCUUAAUCAUAAAAAUACCAAAAUUUUCCCAAGUCAUGGCUUGAACUUGGGACCUCCCAAAUACUCCCAGAACACAUAACCAUUAAAGCUGACAAAUAUUUAUAUCACAUUCACAAUACCCAAAAUUAAAAUUUUGGGGUGUUACAUUGAAUGGCCAGUAAUGCAAAUAUUUUAAGGGUGGAAUGAUCUAGAAACUAAGGAAAAUGGAUGAAUUAGGACCAAAUUGAAUAUGCAAAGAAUUAUGAGGGACUAAAUCGUAAUUUUACCAAAUUAAGUGAUGACUCUAAGGAUGGAAUUUUAAAAGAUCAUGAAAGGAAAAAUGGUCAAUUAGAAUGGGAAAAAACUCUAGAAGGCAAUGAUGAUAUUAGAUAUAUUUUGAUAAUAUUUUAUAAUUAUUUAAUUAGAUAAAUAUUAUUUUAUUAAUAUUUUAAUGAGAUAUUUUAUUAUUAUUUUAUUUAGUAUAAAAGGAAAGAAAGAUGAAGAAUUUCCAUCAUCUUUCCAUGCACCACGUGAGAAGAGAAGAGAAGAAAGAAAUUUUCCUUUCUUUACAAUUUGGUCCUUUUACCAAAAAUUCACCAUUUUCACUUAGAAAUCAAAAGAAUUUCCAUAGCUACCAAGAGAGAAAAAUAAUAAGGAGACAAUGAGGAGCUAGAAUAUCAAGUUAAAUUCAAGAAAUAGAAGCUGGAGGAUAGAGAAAAUCAAGUUAAAGAUUGAAAUCAAUAGAACAAGGUAAGAACACCAAGAUUUCAAUAUAUUUUUGAGUUUGAUAUUAUUGAAAAAGUAUGAAAAUGAUGUUAAAGUAUAUUUUUAUUAUAUAAGGUUCUAUAUUCUUGAUAUGUUAGUGAAGGGAAAUAAAAGGAAGUGAUGGGAAAUAUUGUAGAAAAAGGAAAGGAAGGUGUUAUAAAUUUGGUUACCGACAUUUUACACAAACAAUUUUGGACAGCUGCAGUAGUCUGAAUUUGAAAAUUCACCAAAGAGUUUUGAAAUUGAAUUAGAGGUUAAUUAAAGUAUUAAAUUAAAUCCUAUUGAGUCUAAUUUUACAUAGAAGAAACGGUGUAAGCAAAAGAAUUUCAUAUUAUGAGAUAUAUGGAUUUUUGUGAGACAGGGUCAGAUUGAUUUCGGGUUCCCCUGUUCUGACUUUGGAAAAUUCUAAAAAAUUGUAAAGAAAAUAAUUAGGGGUUUUAAUUUAUAUUUUUAAAUUCUUGAUGAGUCUAUUUUCAAGAAAAACAAACAGAAACAUCAUCCAAACCCCGUACUAAGAGAUAAUUAUUUUUUAGUAAGCAAAGGUUAAAGCUGUCAAACAACAGAACAAGGGUAAAUUUGAAGAUUUUACUGUACUUAUUGGCUAAGCUAUAAAUUCUGAAAAUUUUAUGGUAGAAAUAUAUUUGAGUCUAGUUUCAAAAACAUCAAGUGGAUCUUAAUUUAUAAUUUUGUAGCUCAAGAUAUAAAUAACUUAGUAACUACUACUCAAGUGGACAACUUUGAUAUGAACAUAUAAGUAAAUAAUGGAAUUAUAGAUGAUAUUACAUAUAUGUAUGCUAUAUGCAUUAAGGAUGUGGAAUGGAGAGGAGGAGGAGGAGGAAAAUAUAUGAAUAUUCAACUAGCAUGAGUUUUCAUUAAAAAUGAAUUGUUUUAUUGUCUAAAUUAAUAUAUUUAAAUAAAUUAUUAAUAUCAAGUAGGUUGAGAGCUUUAAUUUUGUUGUAUGAUGAUAUUAUAAAGUGAUUUUGUUAAAUAUUGAUGUUAGGAUCAAAUUGUGAAAAUGGUUAAAAUAUUAGGGUUUGGUAUUAAAUUUCUAUUUUAUUAAGGGUUUUUUGAUAGCCUAGAAUAUUUGGAUAAAUUAUUAAUUGAGGAAAAUUAGUCGAUUUGAUAGAUUAAUUAGUUAAGAGACUAAAUUGUAAAAGUUGUAAAAGUUAGGGUAACUAUGUAUAUUUGAAAAAAAUUGAAGGGUAUAAAUAUUGAAAUGAAUUGGAACUAAAAUAUAUGCUAAUGAAUGAGUAAUUUUAUAUUUUAGAUCAAGAUUUCGUAGAUACUCGUGAAAAAGGGAAAAUAGCAAAAUAGUCCUUGAACUCCUGCAAUUAUUACAAUUCAAUUCAGGUAAGUUCGUAUGAACUAUAUUCUGUAUAAUUUUGAUUAAAGUGAAUGUUAUUUGGUGAUGGAUAUUAUAUAUAUAUAUAUGUGUGUGUUCUAUUGUUAGAAUUGAAUUAUUAUUGGAAAUAUAUUAUCGAAUUUAAUACUCAGUUUGGAUUGAACGCGGGAUUGAAUACAAUCGUUCUGUGGCGAAGGAUGAAUUGACGGAUAAGACCAGAACUGGGUUAUGGCACUAUGAACGUAAGACCCUGGUUGGACCAUGACAGUGUUUAUAUGUAAGACCAUAGUUGGGCUAUGACAUUCUGAUGAUAAGACCAUAACUGGGUUAUGGCACUACAAAUGUAAGACCAUGGCAGGGUCAUGGCAAUACAUGUGUAAGACCAUAGUUGGACUAUGGCACAAAAAGAACGAUGUACUCAUAUCUGUAAGCCAUUUUUCGAUUCAGUAAGAAAUGGUAAGAGACUUAUGUGAUUGAAUUGAAAGAUUUAUAGAUUAUUAUUGAUAUUGAUCUGAAGGAAGUGUAUUUUUUGAUUUUAUUGUGUUUGACAAGGAAAUUAUGUAUGUUGAGACGAGUAAUAAACUCAAGUGUGACUUGUCGAGAAAAUAAGUUUAUCAAAGUUGAAUUUAUAUGUAAUAUGUACAAGUCAGUGUUGUUGCUUGAUGCUUAGGCAAGUGCCAAGCCAUUGGCGGAAUGGUAAUAUGAUUGUUUAUGUAAUACAUUGAAUUGGUAAGUAUUUAAGUGAAAAUAUGCUAGUGCUCAUGAAAAAGUGGUCAGGUUUAAAUUAUGCAAUUUUUUAUGAAAUGACUUAUCAUGUGAUCAAUUUGAAAAAGGCUUUGGUUAAAUGCACUAGCUUGUGACCAUGGUUGAAUGAUAUGAUUAUGACUUGUGUGUUAGGCAUAUGGGAUAAGUGUGGAAAGUAAAGAAAUGCAAAUGAAAAUAAAGAAAUUUGGAAGAGUUAAAGUUAUAUAUAAAAUCUUACUAAGGUUGGGAUAAUAUGUAUAAUUGAUACUGUGAAUUUAUUCACCUUGUGAAUUAAUGAAUAUAGCUUCAUGAGUAUUGUGGUAUUAAUAUUGGAUUAUUUUUAUAUGUAUAAAUUUUAUAUCUGAAAUGAAUCGAUAUGAUUAAAGUUUAUACGAGCUUACUAAGCAUUCAUUGCUUAUGUAUUUGUUUUUUUCUACUUUUCAGAUUAUUGAAAGCUCAAUUGGGUUGGAAGCUUGUCGAAGAUAUAUCACACUAUUCAUCGGUUCUAUCAAUAUAUUUGAAUGUUUUGAUUUUGAUUGGUUUCAAAUAUGAAUGUUAGAUGAAACAAAAUGUCUGAAAAUUAAUUUGUAAACUCCGGUGAUGCUCCGUAACCCUGUUUCGGCGUUGGAUUCGGGUUAGGGGUGUUACAGAUAUUGACUACACAUGUUGAGAAAUUAUGUUAGAAUAUGACUAAUCAAAGGAAAUUGGUGAAUUAAAUUGUUUUUUUUUCUCAUUCUCAAUACAUUAUUUUAGAUGCAAUGUAUGUAAUGUGUGCUUUGAAAAAUUUAAAUUCCAAAAAGUCAUUAAGAAAUAUUAAUAAAAAAUUCUAAAUAAAUGAUCAAUAAGAAAGAUAUCGACUCCACAUGUUGAGAAAUUAUGUGAGAAUAUAACUAAUCAAAGGAAAUUGGUGAAUGAAAUUGUUUUUUUCUCAUUCUCAAUACAUUAUUUUAGAUGCAAUGAAUGUAAUGUGUGCUUUGAAAAAUUCAAAUUCCAAAAAGUCAUUUUCUCAUUAAGAAAGAUUAAUAAGAAAUUCCAAAUAAAAGAUCAAUAAGAAAGAUAUCGACUCCACAUAUUGAGAAAUUAUGUGAGAAUAUGACUAAUCGAAAGAAAUUAGUGAAUGAAAUUGUUUUUUUUUUCUCAUUCUCAAUACAUUAUUUUAGAUGCAAUGGAUGUAAUGUGUGCUUUGAAAAAUUCAAAUUCCAAAAAGUCAUUGUUGUACCAUUCUAUCACCAAAAUGUUUCUAGGCAUGCAAUGGAUGCAUUGUCUACUUUAUAAAAUAGAAUUCCAAAAUGACAUUUUUGUACUUUUCUAUCACAAAAAUAUUCCAAGUCUUAGUAAAAUGAGAGAUAUUCUUGAAUGUAGAUCAAGUUAUCAAGAUUUGGUGGCUUCAACAUGAGUACGAUGAACAAAAUGCUAAUGCACGUUUUUCAUCUUUGCUAGCAACAUCUUUACUUUCAACCAUUCCAACCACUUCCACCACAAGGUCCUUAGGAUGAUGGAUGCGAUAUGAUUAUAGUAUUAUUUUAUCUUUAAUAAUAUUUUGAAUUACACUAGCAAAAUUUAGUGAAGACUUAAUCGGUAAAACUAAUGUAUGAUAUUUUUUAUGAAUGAUUAUCUAACGUCAUGUUUUUUCUUUUUUUUUCUUUUUUGUACAAAAAGAAGGAUUAAACCAUAACUAAACUAUGUGAGACCAAGACAUUCCAGAAUAAUCAUGUAGUAAUAAAUACCUACCCAAUGGUCUUGAGAACGCCAUUAAAGUUAACCCAUUAGCUACCUUGUUGCCCUCUCUGAAAGUAUGAGUAACUUAACCAUCCAAGAAAAUUAUAAUAGCUUCUUAAUGGCACGUGCCACAGCUAAGUAAUGCUGAUUAGCUAUAUUUUCUUGAAUCACUUGGAUAACUUCAGUAUUAUCCGAUUCAAGAAUACAUUGUUUCAGCCCAAGACUCCAAGCUACUUGGAGACCUUCGAGUGCACUCCAAAGUUCAGCAUCAAUAACUGAAUAGCAGCCAAUAUUCCUUAAGAAUCCAGCAAUCUACAUCCCAUGCUGGUCACAGAUUAGUCCACCUGAAGAAGCAUUGCCAAAUCUUAUGUCAUAAAUAUGAAUGUCAUUUAUUUGAAUUAAAUAGUUGUAGUUGGCUAGUUCAGUAUGUUGUAUAUAGACUUUUCAUAUUGCAACAAUAAGUUACUGUUACUACUUUUUGGGAGCAGGUGAUUAUUGAUUGCUCUGCUAGCAUCUUGACAAAAUUAUGUUUUAAAUUAAUUAUUGAUUGUCUUUAAAAAUAGAAUUGGCGAUGCAUUUUAUUUAUUUAUUUAUUCGACUUUAACAAUGUGUUUAAAAACUUUGAUAUUAAUUAUGAUAAUCUUGAAUUAAAUAAGAAAUUAAUGAAAAAAAGUAGUCACUAUUGAGUAGAAUAAGCAUCAUGAAAUGGAAGAGACUACACCGAUCAUGAAAUUAAUUUCACUAAAUAGAUUCAAAUUAUAGCAGCAACCAAAUUGAUGUCCACGCAUUUCUUUGUAAAAGCGUGUUCUCACUGACCCAUAUGAUUCCACACGUAAUGAAUAAAUUGGCAAACAACCUCAAAGUUUCUAUUUAUGAUCUAUCAUGUAAACAUAGGGGAAGACUUAACAAGAAAAUUUUGUCAAGUUGCCAGAAAAGGAAAAGAAUUAAAAUGGCGGAGAUAGCUGAGGGUAUAGUUAUUGAUAGAUUAAUUUCAUUCCUUGGUGCGGAGGUGAAACUGUUUGGACAGCUUAAGAAAGAAGUUGAAGACAUCCGGAUCGAGCUCGACCACAUUGCUUGUUUCCUUAGACAAACAGAUCCAAUGGUAGAUAAAGAGGAUUCUAAUGGUGGCUUCAAACUAUGGGUGCAACAUGUAAGGGAGGUGGCUUUCCAGAUAGAAGAUGUUAUGGAUGAAUACAAGCUUUAUCAUGUUCCAGUUGCACAACAUCAGCAGCAGCAAGGUUUAAUGGCUUCCCUGAGCAGAAUAGCUCAUAUGGUCCAGACUGUGAAAAGGCAUCUCCAGGCAGCAUCAAAGAUCAGAGAUAUCAAAACAUCUGUUAAUGAAAUCAAGGAAAGAAGUGAAAGAUACAGGUUCAACACCCUGCAACAUGUUCCAGGUGAGAACUGUAACGAGCCGGUUGACCCUGGAAUGGGACUUCAUUUUGUCAACAGUGAAGCACUCGUGGGCAUUGAUUCUUCUCGACAAGAGUUGGCCCGUAGAUUGGCAGAUGCAGAGCUGAAACGCACAAUUAUUUCAGUGGUGGGGAUGGGAGGGAUCGGGAAGACGACCCUUGUUAAGAAAGCUUUUGAUGAUGAAAUCAUGGCAAGACACUUCGACUGCCAUGCUUGGAUCACCGUCUCUCAUUCAUCCAGGGUGGAGGUGUUGUUAAGGACCAUAAUGAAGCAGGUGCUCGAAAGCAGUCCCCACCUGUUAGGGUCGACGCAAUGGAUGGUGUAGAAUUGAUAAGCAUCACAGUAUGACCUUAGAAGAAGUUGCGAUGACGUACCUAUCCGAAUUGAUUAACAGAAGCUUGGUUCAAGUAUCAGUGAUUGAUUCUAUUGGCGAUGUCAGAAACUGCCAGCUCCAUUAUUUGAUGCGCGAAGUUGUUGUUUCCAAGUCCAAAGAACUGAGUUUCAUUCAAACAUGUCCAGAAAAUUUGUCCAACCAUGAUCAUGUAGCUCGACAUCUUUCCAUCUGCAACAAAUCAAACAAUUUCCCAAUGGUUGUUGGUAAUUAUCAAACUCAUUCAGCAAUUUUCUUUGACAUAGAAGAGUUACCUAAAUCUUUCUGCUUCUUACAGUUCACAAAGUCCAAAUUGUUGAAAGAACUGGACUUUGAAGGGGCCCCAUUGACUUAUAUUCCAGAGGAACUGGGAAAUCUGUUCAAUUUGAAAUACUUGAGCAUAAGGGACACAAAGGUGAAAAAGCUCCCAAGAUCUUUAGGUAAAUUGCAUAAGCUUCAAACUUUGGAUCUAAAACAUUCUUUUGUAAGCGAGUUACCAGUUGAAAUCAACAUGCUCUUCAAUCUUCAAUAUCUUGUAGCUUACUACAAAGAUAAACAAAGCAUCUACAGUAUCAAUAGUCGAAGAGGGAGGAAGUUAUAUUCCAACUUUGGGAGCUUAGAGUCCUUAGAAAAGCUGUAUGAGGUGGACUUGGAGGCCUACAGUGGUGGUAACUUCUUUCACGAGUUAGCAAGAUUGAAGCAGUUGAGAAAACUAUGCAUCACUAAACUAAAAUCAGAAAGUGGGAAUGCUUUAUGUGAUGCAAUACAGCAGAUGAUCCACCUUCGGUCAUUGAGAAUUUCUUCUAUAAAAGAGGAAGAGCUUCUUCACCUACAUACAAUCUCAUCCCCUCCAGUUUUUCUCUGUUGCCUCAGGCUACGAGGAAGAUUAAUGAAGUUACCUGGUUGGAUUUAUGAACUGAGGAACCUUACAAAACUUACCUUAGAAUGGUCAAGAAUAUCAGAUGAUUCACUUCAAAUCCUUGGUGUUCUACCAAAUUUACUCUUCUUUUGGAUUUUUGAGGGAUACAGUGGAGCUCAACUGCAUUUUCACAAGAAUCACUUUAAGAAACUCAAGGACUUGAGGCUUUGCUGGUUAAAUGAUUUAAAGAGACUGAUAAUAGAUGAAGGAUCAUUAACACUUGUAGAACAUCUAGAACUUGGACCUAGCCCCCAAUUCGAGGAGUUGCCUGCUACCAUUUCUCAUCUAAAAUGUCUGAAGACCAUUUAACAAUAUGCCCAUGGAGUCGGUUCAAAAAUUGUUGCCUGAUGGAGGCUCUGAUCAUUGGAAAGUCAGGCAUAUUCCAAAUAUCUAUUUACUUUACUUCAUGGUUAAAGGAGCACAGCAUGAAACCUACAAGCUUGGUGAUUCACGCUUGUUAGAAUUCCUUAGUUGAAGCACUUGGAUGGAUCUCCUUCCAUGUCUUAAAAUUCCGAUGUUGGUAUUGUGUCAGACACAGUUGAGUGGCCAAUACAGAGGUAUGUUCAAUCUUUUUCUAAGUCUUAACAUGCAUUUGAAUGGUCCUUAGAGGAUCAUAUCUCCAUAACCAUAUUAUUUCAAGAAAAAUGAGUGAGAGCAACAUAGAUUUUACAUUGUUCUGGUUUGCUAUUUCUUUUAUUUUAUGUUUUUUGGAUGAUUUUACUUGUAGGACAGGGCAGGGACUCAAUGGUUUUCAGAUGGAUCAAUUCAACUGAAUGUAGAAUAACCAUAUAGGAAGAGACUAAAUUUGAAUCUACCAGUCUAACUGGUUAUAAUUACUUACCAGAUCAAUGUGGUUGAUUGAUGUAUGUUGCCUUCCCGGCCCCCAAUCUCAUAAAUAGCUCCUUGUACCUUAUGUCGUUUUUGCUUGUUAUAUUGUACUCAUUGUUUCCCUUCACGUCAAUAGCUUCCACCUCAAAACCUAGAAAAUAUCAUCUUACAUGCAAUGGUAAAUUACAGGUUGCGUACAUGGAAGACAGUUUUCCAAAUAAAAAGGUAAUAAGUUAAGCAACGAAGUAUAUAAAAAAGGACUAAAUGAGAGGAAAUAAAUAAAUGAACUAAAGAGGGUUAAGCCUUUAAAAUACAAUGAACUACAAGAAGUACAUUCAGAAGUUGCAAUCAACAAAGCUAUGUUACCUGGACUCUUUAAUUUCCUAAAGUACCUAUUUGGACAUAGGAACGUGGUAUGAUCCUCCAAACAUAUUAAAGACUUCAAAAAAAAAAAAAAGCAUACUCAUAUCAUACACAUACAAUACUCAAGCCAAAUUUAGGUAACAGAGCUCCAUAGGAAGAACGUGUGGAGUUUCUUAAUCUAUCAUACAAACAGGGGCAACUGAAGCAACUUGAAAUUCCAAUAAACCAAAUACAUAGAGCAACUAAAACAUCAAGUUCCAAUGAACCGAACAUCCAUACACGCAAGAAAAAGUAUAGCCAACAAUAGAGGGAGAAUCCAUAUAAAACUUCAUGCAAACUGAAAAAACAAAAGAUAAAAAAUAUCAAAUUUACAAUGAAAGUGCAUAAAGAGAGGACUGUGAAAGAGUUAAUAGCCAAAAAGUUAAGAGAAAGUGAUUCAAGGCAGAAAAAUUGAAACUCAAAGCUACUAACUCAGCCAGUAUCAUACAUCUACAGCUUAAUUGAAAUUGAUUUCAGCUUCCAUUAUUACCCAUUUUAUUCUUGCCAUAAGAGAUUGAAGCAGAAAAUGGCUUAAACCAGAGUCAGCAAAUUUCAACAUCUCACCUUUGAUUUUAUUAAACUAUUGAUCCCGAAAAGAAACAUUGUUCAGGAACUGAAAACAAAAAUCAUUGAAGUUUGUAGCAAUGCAUUCAUAACUGCAAUAAAUAGAAGAGCUACAAUAUUAAAACUAACAAAAAGGAAGAGUAGGCUAUAGUUUAACCGGUGAUCAUUGUGCCAGCGCCCUCAUCCGUCAUAAUCUCAUGAAGCAACGAGUGCUCAACACGACCGUCAAUAAUGCUAGCAGUGGUAACCCCUUGAGCAAGCGAUCGAAUACAACAAUUCACUUUGGGAAUCAUCCCACCGCCUACCUUCCCUUCCUCCAUCAUUUUCUUCACUCCCUUUAUAUCAAUCUCUUUCACCAAGCUUCCAGGGUCCUCUCGGUUUCUCAGAAUCCCUGCGACGUCGGUCAACAGAAUCAGUUUCUCAGCCCCCAAUGCCGCCGCCACCUCACCAGCUACCGUGUCUGCAUUGAUGUUGUAAGGCUGACCAUACUCAUCCGCCGCCACUGAAGCAAUCACCGGGAUGCUUCCGUUGUCCACGAUCGUUUGGAGGACUGUGGGGUCCACUCUCGCAACCUCUCCGACAAACCCCAACUGUGCAGCGUUUGGGCUGGGCCUGGCAACUAAAAGGCGGCCGUCCAUGCCAGAAAGGCCCACGGCGGUGGCUCCAGCGUAAUUGAUACGAGAAACCAGGUCUUUGUUAACUUUUCCAACAAGGACCAUAGAAACAACCUCCAUGGUCCUGGCGUCGGUUACACGGAGCCCAUCGCGGAACUGAGCGGGGAUAUUGAGCUGAUUGAGAAGGACGUUGAUUUCAGGACCACCGCCAUGGACGAGGACGGGACGGAGGCCAACGCAGGAGAGGAGGACGAGGUCCCUGACAACAGAGGCCUUGAGCUCCGCAGAUUUCAUGGCGGCGCCUCCGUAUUUGACGACAAUGGUUUUUCCCCUAAAUUUCUGAAUGUAGGGGAGUGAUUCAGAGAGGAUUCGAACUCGAAGUUGAAGAUCGGAAUUGGUGAGAGAGGGAAGAGGCGGGUCAUUGAGGGCGGUGGAGGAGGGUGAAGAAGCUCUAAUGGAAAGACGAAGGCGACGAGAAUUGGGGGUUAAUGGGGGUUUGGAGAAUCUGAAGUUGAGGUUUAGGGUUUCUGCUUUUGAUUUUGUCUUUGUUAGGGAGAGAAAUGAAAGGGGGUCCUGUGAAGAGCAAAAAUGGAGAGAUUUGCCGGUGGCUGUUGCGCCCAUUUUUCUAUCUUCCUUUCCCUUCUCUGCUGCUUUGGCUCUGGCUUAGAAGGAGCUAAUGGUGCACCCACUCAUUCACGACCCAGGAGAGUAAGCAAAUUAUUACAUUCUAUUUUCAAAAGAAUUUAUAAUAAUUAAAAAGAUAAAAUAAGAAACUAAAAUGAAAUUUUAUUAAAAUCCAACAGUGUGAUAUUAUCCUUCAUCCUUAUUAUUAUAUUAAAAAAAUGAUAAUAAUAAAAGGUAUGUAAAAACAGGAUAAUAUCAUUUGUUUUGGACGAAAGACUUCAGUAAUAACCUUAUUUUCGACCUCAACCAUAUUGACACAAUUAUCUUAUCAAACAAUUAAAAAGGUCACAUUAAUUUUAUAUAUUAUUGACAUCUAAGUAAUAUUAAAUAUUGUUUUAAUAUAAAAUUUAAUAAAUUAUGAUCUGUCAUGUCAAAUAAUCAAGAACAAGACUAUGUACAGAAGUGUACCUGAAUCCAUUGUUGAAGAUUGCCCAAAAAGUUUUGAUCUUUCAAGAAAAUAGUUUUUCUUCUAGUAUCUCUCGGAUGGGGAUGGAAAAGAUAUAUGAGAUAACUCUAUUUCUUGGGAACCACUAUCUCUUUAAAUAACUGAUUAUUAAAUUAGUUUUGAGUAUUUAUAAUUUGACCCCUCAUCAAGUUAUAAAUACAACUUAUAACUUAUGAUAUCUACACAUUAUUUUCAUGACACUUUGAUACCUAUGACACUUAUAACAUAAUUGGUCACUUAAUUUUGAUCAUAUUUUAUAAUAGCAUUAUACAUUAUAUAUAUGUGCCCAUAAUUGGGGAUUUUAAUCCAACAAUCUCCCACUUGGGCAACAUAUAUUUCCUGAUAAAUGUACAACUUUAUGGGCUCAAAAUUUGCUAUAAUAUAACAUGUAUUCUAUAACAGUCUUGUCCAUCAACUAUAUCCAUAUAGGAUCAAAUUAGUCUUUGUCAUAUUAACCAUGACUAAACUCAUCAAUAGUCACAUAUACAAAUAUAGUCAAAUGAUAUGGAUCAAUCAUAGAUGUGUAGUAUGAAAAUUACACGCAAUGUGAACCAAACAUGCCUAUUUCCAAUUGGUCCUUCUUAAACUUAAGCGAUGUCAAUAUCAAACAGAGUGGAUAAACUAAAUACUUCAUUUCUGAUCAAAAAAUAACCAAAUACAUAAAUGUUUGAAAACAAACAUAAAACAAAUAAAACACAAACUUUUACUAAACCAUGAUACCCUCAAAUAAUAUAACAUGUUGGGGAAUGUGUCCAUCUUGUAGUAAACAUGUAACUGUUUUCUAUUUAUUUAAACGAUGAAUAAAUAAAUAAAGUUAAUUUCACAUUCCACUAUUGUGUCUUUUGUAUUUUCCGUCUUUUUAUAUUUUGCAUGCAUAGCGAAAUUGUGACAAGCAAAUAUUAGCUCAUUGAUUGUCUAAAGUUCAAAUUGAAGAUAAGUGACAUUGUAAAUAACAUUUACAUUGCGAGAAAGAAAACUUACUUCAGUAGAUAAUCUAAAUGAGUCUAUAAUCUCGUAAAAGAAUCAAAGUGAGCAUUUGAUUCAAAUACUGAGAAAGAUUAUUAUGUCGUCUACAAUUCCAAUUAAGGAGAUGACUAGUCUUGGCUAUUGGAGCGGUUGACUCCAUGAGUAGAGACAUAGAUGUAUUCCUUGGUAGAAUGAUACAUUGGACUAGAACUCAAGAUGAAUUAAUUCUGAAUCUGUUUGUGAAUUAAUUCACUUGUGACGUUCAUGGUGUGACUUACCUAAAUCCUAAGUUAGUCACUGACCAUGCGUAUGCAACUCAUGUGCUUUAAUAUAAUUAGAGGCUUAUGCUCUAAAGAUGAUCGGGCCCAAAGCCGAUAUGUUGGGUACAUGAUUUGUGUAUGGCAUGGCUUUACUAGAAAUAGUAGAAUUCAUAGCUUAAUUAAAGAGUUAAUGAUAUCAUAUUAUUGGCAUUGUUUGGAUUGAUAAAUAUGGAACGUGGUCACGGGUCGCUAGUUCUCGAACGAGUAAUUUAUCAUAGUCAUUUGUUGACAGUGAUCAUAUUAAUCAUUAAGAAGACACAAUGGUGACAAUGAGAUAAAAUAGAAUUGUAUUAAGUGAACGGAUUUAACUCAAAGGACUCAAGGAUAUCAUAUGAGGGUAACACACACAUGAUGAGGUCAUUGGACAAAGCAGUUGGAUGAAUUACUUUCACAAACAGUAUACAAUAAGGAGUUUUCAAUCAUGGUAUUUCUUGUGGACUGACUCCAUGAUUAAGUAAUUGAAAAUUAUCGAAAUGAUGCUUCUGGACAUAAUUGCAAUCAUUAGAGCAUAAUUGUAUAUGUCUAAUUGGUCCCUCCGCUAGCUCAACAAAAACUUGAUCGAACUGCAUUUGAAUCAGAAGUAAAUUCUACGACUUUGGAAAUAAUUUAAUUGAGUCGAUUUAUUCGAUGUGGAAAUAAAUUAGGUGGUCGUAAGAAAUAUUCAACUAGAGAAUUUGAUUAAAGAAUUAUCUUGAAAAAUUAAUUUGGAAAAUCUAAGUGAUUUUUGGAAAAAUUAAUUCUGAUCAAGUAAAAUUAAAUUAAUCAAAUCAAUUAAAAUUAAGUUGAUAUUUUUAGAAGUUAAUUUUCAAGUUAGAUAAUUGGACCAAUGAGUAAUUGAACUUGAAAAUUACAUCUGAAAUUGUAAAUUGGGCUUGAGAGCCCAAAAUCGAGACCAAGACCCAAAAACUGGUCAAAUCGAGCCCAAUAUAUUAAAUCAAGCCGACAAUUCAACCAGUGGCUAGAUUGGACCGAUCGGGUCGUCAUUGACCUGGACCAAACCGACAGCAGCCGAACUGGCUCAGGGUGUCGUAUGGAUGUCGCACCUGCAUCACUGGACACGGUGGUGCCAGUGGCUACGACAGCGGCAUCUCAGUGGGCGAUGGCGAUUGGUUGUCGGUGGUUGAGCAGUGGAAGAGUUACACUCCUAUUGGGACUCUACCAGAGAAUUUAAUUUCAGAUUAACUAUUCUAAAAAUAAUAUAAUUUUAAUAGUUUAAUAUUAAAUUUAAUUUAAUACUUAUCUUAAUAGUAAUUUUUUUAAUUUAAUAUUAAAGUGAUUAAGUUUAAUCAUAGUUAAACUCUCUAAACUCUUCCUAUAUAAAGAGAGCCAUGGGUCAUUAUUUUCACACAUUUGAAUUCAAGAGAAAGUUGUAGAGAGAAAAUUCUCUGAAGAGAUCAUUCUAGAAAAUUUGUAGAGAGAAAUUUAUUUCCCGCUGCAUUUUCUAAACUCGUUUUUCCAACAUAACACUUAUAUAAGUAGUGUGCUCAUGAAAGAGCUUGGGUGGUAAACCUUUUUGUGAGCGGAUCCUCUAUUAUAGAGUUUGUCCCAAUGCGCUCUAUGGAUAUUUUUCCACUUUGCACUCUCUCUUUCACAACUUAGAACUUUAUGUCAAUAUAUUUUGACUUAGUUGAGCUCUUGUUGUUGUUGGAAUAUAACACCGCUAACUUAUUGUCACAAAAUAAUUUGAGUGGUGUUUCUACAUUCUCCAAAAUGCGCAGCUUAGUGACAAAGUUUUGCAACCAUAUUCCAUGGUUUGAUACCUCAUAACAUUCUACAAUUUGCUGCCAUAAUGGAAGAAGCCGCAAGUGUCUAUUUGACACUUUUCCAAUAUAUAGCUCCUCCAGCUAACAGUUAAAUAUAGUUUGAUGUAGAUUUCUUGCUAUCUUGACACCCUACAAAAUUAGAGCCAGAAUACCCUACGACCUCCAAAUGAUUUGAUCUCUUGUAAGUGAGCAUGUAAUCUUUUGUUCUCUAAAGAUACCUCAUAACCCUCUUGGUUGUUAUCCAAUUUUCCAUACCAAGGUUGCUUAAAUGUCUACCUAACAUCCCAACAAUGUACACAAUAUCUAGACGCGUACAUACUUGAGCAUACAUUAGACUCCCAACAACUAAUGCAUAGGGCAUCUUUUGCAUUUCCUAAAUUUCAAGGUUACUUUGUCUCUUUUAGCAACAUUGGUGUCAUUUGGUCUACAACCGUAGAUGCCAAACCUUUUGAGUAUUUUAUUAAUAUAACUCUUUUGUGACAAUCCAAAAAUACCACAAGAUCGGUCUCAUGUAUUUGAAUUCUUAAAAUAAAAUAGGCGUCUCAAGAUAUUUCAUCUCAAAAUGCUUAGAUAAAAAACCUUUUGGUUUCAUGCAAUAAGCCUAUAUCAUUAGUGGCAAGCAAAAUGUCAUCGACAUAUAAAACCAGAAAUAUAUAAAUAUAUACUUACUCCCAUUGAAUUUUUUAUACACAUAAUCAUCAACAAUAUUCAUUUCAAAACCAAACCAAACAAUUACUUGAUUAAACUUGUAGUACCAUUAACGGGAAGCUUGUUUGAGUCCAUAGAUGGAUUUUGUUAAUUUGCAAACCAUAUUAUUUGGGUAUCUCAACUCAAAGUUUUCUGGUUGCAUCGUAUAAAUUGUUUCUUCAAUGUCGUUAUUGAGAAACGUAGUCUUAACAUCCAUCUGAUGUAAUUAUUUGUACUUCUGAAAUCUUCCCCCUACCACUGUUAAGCAUUCAUGUUUAAUUCUUGCCUUUACUACCCUUCUUUCUUUCCUUUUUUAUACUUCUGAGAUACCUAUCACCCAUUCUGCAUUUAUCUGCCAACCUGAACUUAUCCACAAUACAUAAAUUAUUUAUAACAUAAGGAACUAAGCCAGACAAAAGUAUCAUGCAUAUGGGGGCUAUUUCUCAAUUUUUAAUGUCUAUAGGACCGACUAAAUUGUGCUCUGAUACCACUAAAUUGAAAUUCCCUUACCUAACUAGUUCGUCGGGUCCAAUACUGGAUGUCACAAUUAAACCCAUCCAAUAUACAAUACAAUAAACUUAACUAGCCAAGUUUUAUUUGAUAGAUAAAUAAAAUCUUUUUACUAUAUAAACACAUCAAAUAAAGAAACAUUUACAAAUACUUCAAUGUAAUUAUCUAUUAAAAAUAAUCCAAUAGCCAUCAUAUGAGUUGUUGCUUAAUUGCUCACUAUAGAGAUUUACUUCAACUUUACUAUAUAACAAUUUAAUUAUACACGACGUAUAUCAACCCAAGUUCUAUUAAUAUUUCAAAACCUCAAGCAGAGCCUCUAAGGAUGCCCCCUAUAUGCACGACACCAUAACCUGCAUGUCCUCUUGGACUCCGCAAGGUCUGACUUGGUCCAUUCAAUGCUUUCUAUGCAUUCCUUCGUCUUGCAUCCAAGGCAGACCACUCAUAAGUUCAUGCGAACUUAGUGAGGUUCCAUAUGUUCAUCACUACAUAAAAGAAUCAAUAAAAAGAAUUCAUGUAUAUAAUUAAAACUCUUUAUUUUUCAUUUAGGCUUUAGCAUCUGCUGUUGUGUUCGAUGUUUAUACGUUUUCCCUCUAUAACUUCUAACAGACACUUUACAACAAUACAACUUCUUAAUGGAUACUCCUUGGCGACUCAUACCAUAGUCUCAAGCUUUAUCUCAGAUUUUCCGUUCUUCUUGCUUGAUAUUCUAUCAGGCAUUUCAUCUUUUGGAUGGAUGUUUAUAUAUAUACCCACCUAGAUAACUUGAUGAAUAUUAUAUAUUACAUUGAGAGGGCAGAUUUUUUUCAUCAUCUUUACCUUCAUGAAGAUCUUAAUGUAGGUAUACGAUCUUGUUAUCUUUUCACUUGUUUACCGCCACUUUGGCAAAUAUUAGUGCAGUUGAAAAAUCCCAUGAAUACUUGACCUUAUCAAUAAGCAGUUUAAGCCUAAAAUCUGGUAGACCAUCGAUAAUAAACCCCUUUUAUAGAUAGCCAUAUGAGAUAGUCCUUAUGGCAUUACAAUUCUAAGAUAAUCCUAGCGAACUUCCCUUUACUUCAAUAAUACACGACAGACUUCUAAACAGAUAGUCCUUAUGGACAUCCUACAAGAUAGUCCAUGGUGGACUUCCUUUUACUUCAAUAAUACACGGCGAACAAAUAGUCCCUAUAAAUGUCCCACGAGAUAGUUCAUGGCAGACUUUCCAGAUAUGAUAAUCCUGACAAAUAUUCUAAACUACCAGAUAGUCCCUCUGGACCUUUCCACCUAAACUAGGUUCUGAUAGAACUUCAAUUCAUUUAGUAGUCCUCGUGAACAGUCUUGUCUUUUGACAAAUCCUUGACUGACUUUACCAAAUAAGACAAUCCCCAACUGACCUUCCAUUUAAGAUAGUCUUUUUUGGUGAACCCUGAAUGGUGGAUACCUAGUAACAAAUACUCUAUAAAGAAAAACCCUCCUCCAUACAUAUACACCUAUGCAACACUUUCAUAUAUCUUUCUUACAUUCAUAACUUGGCGGUAGAGGUGAUCAUGGGUUGGGCGGCUCGGCCCAGCCUGACGACCCGCUUGAAAUAUGGGAGGGUUCAGGUAAAAAUAUAGGCUCAAAAUAUGGGUUUGGGCAAAACUUUUUUGGAACGGGCCCGACCCGGCCCGAAUAUAUAAUAAAUAUAUAUUUUUAUUUUUUAAUUUUAAAUUAUUUUUAAAAUACUUUUUUAUUUUUUAUUUUUAAAAUGCAAUUUUGGUGUUUAUUAAAAAAUAGGCCGGGCUCAGGCUUAGGAAUUUUUUCCAGGUCGGGCCUAGACAAAAUUUUAGGCCCAUAUUUCGGGUCGGGCCCAGGCUUAGGACGCGGGCUAAAAUUUUUUUCUGGUCCCGGCCCGACCUAUGAUCACCUCUACUUGGCGGAGCCUUAUCUCAGCAAUUUCGCCAAUGCUUCUAAAUUUGACAUAAUUAUCCUGACGGAUUUCCUUGUUCGUUGUCCUGGCGGACUUUAUAAUCACGCGAACCAUUUCACAGUUCUCCUAUAUAUGUCAUGUUUACUAUCCUAGCAGACUUUAUAUGUUGUCAGCGCCAGCUAUGGUCUUACACUAUAUGAUGCCAUAAUCUAGCUAUGGUCUUACACUCUUAUAGGCUUAAAGCCUCCGAUCGAUGCCAUGGCCUUACACAUUAUUAUUGUUGUCACCCAUCCAUUCCCCCUCAAAUCCUCUUUGUUAAUUCGAACACCUAAAUGUUCACCUGCAAUACCAGACAAUCGCAUAUUUCAGUUGCAACACAUGCCAAAACGAAUUACGAAAAAACUAACAAAAAUUAUAUUUCCUAAUCCAUUCAUUCAUUCUUCCACAACGCCAAUUCCUACUCCAACUAACCCGACAAUCAAUUUUCUCCGUACUCUAUAAUUCAUGAACACACAUAACACACAACAAUACGUUCAAAAUAUAACAUGAAAUACGCCACACCCAUUUCACAGAUACAACACAUAACAUAUUCUUAGAAAACAUAUUUUCAUCCUUCAUGUAGUCAAACAACUAACGCAUACAUAACACAUCCAAUCAACAGAAAUCCUAUAUCAUCACUGAAAUCUCACUGAACUCAACAUAGAAUCACAUCAGUCAUACAACAUCCAAACCAACACCCAGAUAUGGAGUAUGGAAACUCACCUAAUGUCUCUCUACUUUGCCAACUUAGCUUUUCCAAACGCCAAAACCUCCUUUCUCUUAGUAGCUACGUAUGACAACCAAAAACACAGAUUAAAUCAAAGCAUUUAUGCUUCCAAAACCCAGAAACCAAAAUUCUCAGAAUUCUUUCAAAAGUUACAGAAAUCUAUAUCUUCUCUUUUUCUCAAAUCCACAAGCACAGGAAGUUUAAAAGGCUUACCAGUACACCAGAUUCUCUAUUUUCCUGACUCAAAUCCACAAGCAGAGUUUUCUUUAGCUUUCUCUUCUUCAGUGUAACCGAAGAAGUUGAAGAAAAAAAGAAAAUAGAACAGAAGAACAAGAAGCAGAAUAGAGAAAAUCCCCCUCUACAGAACAACCCUUCUCACUAUAUAUAUAACCACUACAUGCUCGACCACCAACUCCCAUAGACACCAUACAUUGGCAAUCAUUUUGUCUCCCACUAAAUAACCAAUUGGUUUCGUUGCAACCAAACUAGAACCAGAACCAACUGAUUGCUAACCAAUCACUGGAAUUUCUAAAUUCUCACAAUUGAGUCUGCUGAACUAGCAGUUUCUUACAGUUAACUCCCACAUUGUCCCAAUUCGGACCUUAAUAAAGACCGGGUGUGACAUGUUGGGGAGAGCUUAGUCACAAUACUACAGUGGAAUGACUUCAUGACUAAAUAAGUUUAUAAUUAAUAAGCGAAAAGCUGGAACUUAAUUAUAAAUCAUUUAAUCCUCAAUCGCAUAUGUCCAAUUGCUCUAUCUUUUAGCUUGUUGAAACUAGAUAUGAAUUGUAUGUUGAAUCAAAUUCAAAAGAGGAAUAAAAAUGGUGAAAAUGGAGAAAUGAAAAAUCAUUUGAAAAUGAAAAUGGAGAAAUGGAAACAUUUGGAAAUGAUUAUGGUUUUCUCCAAAAUGAAAAUGAAAAUGGAGAAAUGAAAUAAUUUAGAAAUUGAUAUUCUCCAAAAUGAAAAUAAAAAAUUAAAAUGACCUGAAAAUGAAUUUAUGUUUUUUGGAAUUAAAUGAAGUUUGAAAAUAAAAAAUAAAGCAUUUGGUCAUACUGAAUUGUUGAAUAUAAAAAAUUAAAUAUAUUUUCUCAUAGAUUCUUUUACGGUAAAGUCGUCAUGAUUUUAAUAGAAUUAGAAUUGGGUUGAGAAGAUUAUUUAAUUGGAAAUAUAUUGAGAAUUUUAUUUUGGAAAAUAAAAAAAUAUCGGGUUGGAUCGAAUUAUAAAGUAUUGAGUUAAAAGCCCAGAAAGUACUUGUAAUUGGAUCCGAUAUAGGAGUGGCUUAAAAGCCCCUCAUGUUAAAGGGGUGGACACUAACUAGGGUUGUCGCCACCUAUACUUCUAGUUAUACUAGGAGUUCAUUUUUCUAGUUGAAAUAAAUUUUUACUAUUCAACAAGGGUUCUACCUUCUCUUUUUAUAAAGAGAUGGCACCGGUAGGACUAUUGACACAACUUAAAAGUAUUAUUACUCUACUCGAAAAUAGAGAGAAUUUAUUCUAAACUAUUAAAUCUAUUUUCUAGAUUAACAAUUAUGUCGGUCUCUAUUUGAGAAGAGAUUUUUUUUUGUUUUCACACUAAAAAAAAUAAAAUUGUUUCUAGUUUUGUGUUUGAUUCAAUUCGUUCAAGCCCACAUUCGAAGCAGUUCGUGGUACGAAAAUAGCAGAGAAUAUUGUUUGGUUGAAAGUCGGGAACGAAAAGAAUUCAUCUAUCCGAAAACACAAUUGCGAAUUCGGUCUAGGGUUUAUUGUUAUAAAUAUCAUAAACCUGGUCGAUUUUCAAAAUUUUUAUUUUUCGCCGUGCAAGAAAAUCAGAUAUUUUCCAACACAGACUAUGAUGGGAAAUGAUGGGUUGAACGCUGCCACCUUUCAUCUGAUCAUCGAAGCAGUUCGUGGUACGAAAAUAGUGAAGAAUAUCAUUUGGUUGAAAUCGGGAACGAAAAGAAUUCGUCUAUCUGAAAAUAUAAGUGCGAAUUCGGUCUAGGGUUUAUUGUUAUAAAUAUGACAAACCUGAUCGGUUUUCAAAAUUUUUAUUUUUCGCCAUGCAAGAAAACCGUUUUUGAAUCAGAUAUUUUCCAACACAGACUAUGAUGGGAAAGGAUGGGUUGAACGCUGCCACCUUUCAUCUGAUCAUGAACGUGUUGAAGAAAAAAAAGAUAGAUGAGGCAUGUCAAGUGGCAGAUUUCAUGAAAGUCGCUGGAGUUUUGCCCAAUGUGAUGGCAUAUAAUUUUUUUACUGACGGCGUGCUGUUAUGAGUGUAAGUUGAUGGAGGCGAGAACGGUGGAGAAAUAAAGGUUUGGGGAUUAGGUUUUUGUUUUAAAUUUACACAAUUUUUAAAAAUUAAAUAUUUUCAUUUUGUAAAUGUUGAAGGUUAAAUUUAUUGAUUUUUUAAGAAUUUGAACUAAAAUGACAAAUUUUUUAAACAUUGAGGGUUAAAUUUGUUGAAUUUUUUUUUAGGCUCAAAUUAAUAGAAUGUGUAAGUAUUAUAGGGCUAAAUUUGUUAUUAGACCAAUAAAAAACCCACUUUAGCACUUCUAUCAAAUUUCAAACGAAUGCUAAUGUUCAAUGACAAAAAAAAUUGAUUUCAAAUAGUUUAGUGACUAAAUCGAAAAAAUUAAAAGCUUAGUAACCAAAAUAGAACACGACCAAUAGUUUAGUGACCAUUUCUAUACUUUACCUAUUUAAUUAAUCGUAAGGAUUUUCUUUGCUUUUAGCUUAGCAUGGAAGAUUCUAAGAUAAUAUAAUAAAAAAAUUGUGUUUCAUAGAUAAUUAAUAAAGAUGAGUUAUUUGAGUUGAUUAUACUUUGGAAAUAUAAAAUAAAAUUUAAAAUUUUGGAAGAAAAUUAAAUAAAUUAUUUUUAAUAUUAUAGUAACAAAUUGGCUAACACUAUCAAGGGAUGAAAUUUUUUCAAUAAUUUAUUAAAUUGAUUUUGAUGUUUUGAAAUUUAAAAUUUCAAUAAAAAAGUUAGAACUUUCGACAAUGGGGUAAACAUGUGCAAUUUGAAAGCGGCCUAGAAGUUGGGUGAUCAAAAUACAUAAUGUGACAUGUACAAUUAAUCGUUGUUAGAAAUUUAACACUUAGAUAACUAAAAUGAAAGCAACUUAAAAGUUGGGUGAUAAAAUUACAAAAAGUUUAUUUUUGGUGACCAAAAUGAAAACACCCUAAAAGUUGGGUGACUAACUAGGUAGCUUACCAACUCAAGGCAUUAUUCUUAUUAAAUUUUCUACAUCUCUAUACUAUUAUUUAAGUUCAUGAUUGAGUUGGUGAUGCGGUUGGUGUCACCCUCAACCGGGUCACCAACUCGGUUAGAGAAAUUACGGACAUGCCUUUUUUAAUUAAAAUAAUUUAUACUGCUUGGGGUAUUUUAAUAUUUUUAAUUUUAACAAAAACCAAUAAAAAUAUGCAUAUUAAGGGAUUUGAACUCAAACCAAUUGUAUUAGUAAAACUUUAAUUUAUCAUGCAACUAGAGCUUUAUCUUAAUAUUUUUAUACAUUUUAAUUUUAUUAUGCACACUUCAUUACUUCCAUCAUUUAUAUAUAUUAAUAAUGCAUUUAAUUGAGUUGGUAUCACAAGUUAACUCGGCACUGACUCAAGAUUAAAGAUAAUACAAUGAUAAAUAAUUUAAUUUAAAUACUGUACAUAUUUCAUAUGUUAUUAUUACUUAAUUAAAAGUCAUGCAUUACAUUAUUUAUUACAUGUUAUUUUUAAACCUACAUUUAUAGUUUCCAUACGUAACUGCGUAUGAUAAACUUUAUUAGAAAACAUAAUGUUUCUCUAUUUAAACAAAUUCACUAAGUUAUUACUUAAAAAAUGAUGAUAUUAUUAUCAUUUUUUUUAAUAACUAAUACCAAGUUAGGUUUACGUAAAAGAAACUCUUUUAAAAUUCAAGUAGUAAAACCAUCUUUAAACACCCCUAAUCUUAGUGGCCUUUUUUCCUUUCUUUGCCUUGCCCUUGUAUAAAUUUUUUUUUACAAAAGAAAGAUUAACUCUAAUUAAUAUAAAACGAGAUUACAUUACAUCAGGUAGAUCAUCAUGUAAAGAUUGAAGGAUUUCAUCUGGGGGUUGCAUGAAUGUAACAUUGCCAAAAGGUAUUAAGAAAGCCAUUUGUGCCAAACCAUUCACUAUCUUGUUGCCUUCUCUGAAAACAUAUAUUAAGUGAAUUGUCGAAUCACGUUGGAGAAGCUCUUUAAUGUUAUGGAUCACAAAAGAACAAUAUUGCUCUUUUCCAUAUUCUUGAUUUGCUUGAAUAGCUUCCUUAUUGUCUGUCUCAAGCACCAUUUUCUUCGGUCCGAGACUCCACACUAUUUGGAGCCCAUCAAAUAUACCUAGUUCAGCCAUGAGUACCGAGCAACUCCCGAGAUUUCUUGUGAAGCUUGCAACCCAUACUCCAACCUGGUCAUGGAUUAAUCCACCCACAGUAGUAGUCCCUAAAAGUUGACACAUAGCACCAUAAGUAUUCACCUUCUUCCAUCCAUCAUCUAGUGGUUUACGUCUUAUGGCUUUACAAGAAUCAGCAUUUAUACGCCUCAAUGUCUGGUUCGACUCAUGGUUUGCCUUAAGAAAAAUAUCUUUCAUCCAACAACUUUUUCCCAAAAAUACUAUCGGUUUCCAUAAACUCAGCAUGAAAUACAUAAUUAUUUCUCCUAAUCCAAAGUUGCCAACAGAUACUACCAAACAGUGUUACCCAACCGCUAGGAAUACAGGCAAAAUAUUCACGAUCAGAUAGAUUUUUAACAAACCAUUCUUCCAAGCUGAGACUCAUGUCUCGUUUCCACCUUAGAAACAGAAAGCCAAGUUUCCACAGCUGGGGUACAAAAUCGCAGUACAUGGUCAGUAUUUUCCAACGCACUUCCACAAACCAUACAACUUGCAUCAGUAAUCAUUUUUCUUCUCACUCUGUUCUCAUUGGUUAGAAUUCUAUCUAAAAAGGCUAGUCAAAUGAAAACACACGCCUUUUGAGGAACUCGAAUGUGCCAAAUCCGAUGCCAAAUCCCAUCGUAUCUACUCCUUUCCACCCCCACAAUUAGUAGCGUAGACAGAUCACACUGAAAACAAUUUCUUUUUAUUGUGAACCCAACUUGUAGAGUCAUCAACGUUAUGAUCUGAUGGAGGCUUAUAAGUUGAGAUGUUUAGGAUGACUGGACGUGGCAGAACCGAGUUAAGAAUAGACCAAUUCCAAUCCCCACUCGGCGUAACAAGCUCCUUCAUAGAGACAUGCUUCUUAGGAAUGCCUUCGGGUUGUGUACAACUGUUUACUAGGGAACCUUGUAUAACUUUAAUUAACUUUUAGAUAAAUAUAAUUCUUUUAACAUCUACAGUAAAAAUUAAAUUUCCAGCUAAUAUCAUAUAGUUUGGUAAAUACAUCCAACAAAUAAAAAAUUAAUAUUAUAGUAAAAGGAUUUGGAGAGAGAUUUAAAAUUAUAUAAAGAAAAUUAAGACUAAACUCAGAUGAAGCUGAAUAUACCCUAAACGCUAAGCCAAUUAUAUAAAAACCAAGCCAUACAUUGUGUAAGUGAACAUGCCCUUGAUGCCCUUGAUCUCUGGGUUGUCCAUGAAGUGCAACUGGCCACCUUUUGUCACUUUCAAUAAAUUUUAUUUGGAUCGACCCACUCUAUGUGAAGCAAUGUAGGAUAAUCUUCGAUAAGGAUAUGAUGGAUCCAUAAUUUUAAUUUGUUUAACAAAUAUUCUUAUUCUUGUUUCUUCCUCAUUUAUUUAUCCUAUAAUAUAACCCAUUCCACGGAUUUAAAAUUGUUGUUACAAUCCAUUUAAGUCUUCUUCCAUUUUCUUUCUUCUUUAAACAACCAAUGCAACUCUUACAAAUUACAUCCAUCAACAAAUAACAUAUUUAUUCUAUAAACAAUGUAUUUUGAAUUAUGAAUCAAUUAACAACUUUAUUCUAUUAACAUAAAUGAUGCUUUUAACUAGAUUACAAAUAUUUUAAAUAUAUAUUAAAAAUAUUUGUCCAGAAGUACUUUGAUUUGAAACUUUAAAGAGUACAAAUAUAUGCUAGUGUGAGUAAGGGCAUGGAGCAAGUCAAAAAUUAGUAUCAUUGAUGGGAAUGAAGGAUUUCCAUUAGAAAAGUAAAUGGAGAUACCAAACUUGGAUGGACUUGAAUUCCUCCAAAGACAAAUACGGGGAUAAACUAGCAUAUGAUAGCACUAUAAAUAUACAUUUCAGAUGCAUCCAUUCUCCAUUUCAGUUUUCAUAGCUACCAACAUGAAGCUUGCAGCAGCCAUGGACGCCUUUGAUUCUUUCAUGCCAUACUUACUCCACUUGGUGCUUCUAUACGUCUCUGCCGGUCUCUUUUACUUUCUUUACAAAUACAAAUCUAGCGGCGGUGGCGGCCCCACCCCCAACCUCCCUCCUGGUAAAAAGGGUCUUCCAUACAUCGGUGAAACCUUGGAUUUUGUAUUGGCGUCCAGAAGGGGAACUCCUGAGAAAUUCGUGACUGAUAGAACUACCAAAUAUUCACCCGAUGUGUUUCGCACAUCACUGCUUGGAGAAGACAUGGCCGUCUUCUGCGGCUCCGCUGGUAACAAGUUCCUUUUCUCCGGCCAAAACAAAUAUGUCACUUCAUGGUGGCCGGAUUCUAUUAAGAAAGCUUUGAUGGACCCAUCCAGUGUUGACAAUUCUUCCAAAGAAGAAUCCACUAAACUUCGGGCCUAUCUGCCUCCUUUUCUCAAGCCUGAGUCCCUGCAACAUUUCAUACCAGUCAUGGAUAUAAUGGCGAAAGAGCACCUAAAUCAACAUUGGUCGCCGUAUAAUGAAGUCCAAGUUUUCCCACUCUCCAAGAAGUACACGUUCGCACUGGCUUGUCGUCUUUUCAUGAGCGUCACGGAUUACGACGAGAUAGAGAACUUCGCGAAGCCAUUUGCUCUUGCCACUGCGGGUCUCAUGUCGGUUCCCAUAGAUCUUCCAGGUACAACUUUCAAUCGGGCAGUGAAGGCCGGCAGACUGAUUCGACAACGGCUUUUAGCCCUCAUUACCCAGAAGAAAAAUGAGAUAUUGGAGAAAGGGAAAACAGUAGCCUCAGACUUGGUUGACAGCAUGCUGAUGGAUGGUAUGACUGAGGUUGAGAUCGGCAAUAAGAUUGUGGGCUUCUUUAUUGCCAGCCAUGACACAACAAGCACUGCCAUCACCUUCAUUGUUAGCUAUCUUUCGGAUUAUCCUGAAGUAUAUAACAGGGUUCUUGAAGGUACGUGAUUUAGCUUGAUUUUAAGCACCCAUGACAUUGGGAUGGGACUAUUCAUGAAUAAAGUAAUGUUUUCAACUAAUUGCUGGGAAAAUGCAGAACAAAUGGAAGUAUUAAGAUGCAAGGAGGCAGGGGAGCCAUUGAGAUGGGAAGAUAUACAGAAGAUGAAGUAUACUUGGUGCGUGGCAUGCGAAGUAAUGAGGUUGGCUCCGCCUGCUAAUGGGUCUUUCAGAGAGGCCAUAACCGACUUCACUUACGCAGGUUAUACAAUCCCAAAGGGAUGGAAGGUAACUAAUACCUUUUUUUAAAAAAAUAAAAUAAUGCAACCAUAUAUAAUAAAUAUUGAUUUAAUUGUACUAAAAUGGUCAGGCGUUUUGGAUGGUGCAUACAACGCACAAGAAUCCGAAAUACUUUCCGGAUCCAGAGAGAUUUGAUCCAUCAAGGUUUGAAGGGAAUGGUCCUGCACCCUACUCCUUUGUACCAUUUGGGGGAGGUCCUCGAAUGUGCCCUGGCAAGGAGUAUGCUCGACUCGAAAUCCUCACUUUCAUCCACAAUCUGCUCACCACUUUCAAAUGGGUUAAACUCAAUCCCAAUGAGAAGAUUUCCUACAUUCCAUCACCCAUUCCUAAGGAGGGUCUUCCCAUCAAAAUCCAACCCCUUCUAAAUUAAUUGUUCCUAUUUAAUAACUUUUCCACAAGUGAGUUAAAUGUCUCACUUAUUUUUAAUUAUCGAUGGGGUUUCAAAACUCUAUAAAUGCUUGAUGUAAUAAUAUCUUUUAAAUAAAUUAUACAAUCAGAAAUAAAUGGCCAGUGCCUCGUUUGGGAAAACUAUGGGUUACUAAUUUGUCUCUAGUCAGCUUUCAUCCCUUUGGAAACCCACAGGUAAAAUCCAAUUUACAGGCUUAGGUCUUAACUACUUUAUUGUUUCCUUUCAUUAUAACUCUGAUUAUGUUUAUGUUAUACAAAAUGGACCAUAGUUUAUUGGGGUCAUUUUCUUAUUGUGUGCAAAUGGGAAUCGAACCUUAGGGCAUCUACUGCUACAAUUUCCUAUGCUGCAGUUUGGUUAAAAUUAGGAGUGAGCAAAAUUUGAUUUUAUUUGAAAAGCUCGAUAAAAAAUUAAAAUUUUAAAUUAAAUAGUUUGAGUUAUUCGAAUUAAUCGAGUUAUUCAAAUUAAUCAAGUUAUUCGGAUCAACAUGAAUAAGAAAUUAAAUUUUUCGGUUUAACUCGGAUAGGAAUUACAUAAUUCGAGUUAUCUGAAAAUCCGAAUAAGAAACGGAAAAACUACGUUGUUUUGAUAAAUGUUUACCUUUUCUAAAGUUAAAAGUCAAAACCAUUAAGUCAAAAGGCAAAACUACGUCAUUUUGAUAAAUGUUUACCUAUUAAGUUAAAAGCAAAACCAUUAUAUUUUUUAUGUAGUUAAAUAAUAUUGUACUUUGUCUACUAGUUAAAUAACUGGUCCAUGUAAAUGCAACAUUGAGUAUAAAUAAUAGAAUUCGUUAACUUUAUUUGACUUGACUCGAAAUUUUUUUACUCGAUUUGAUUUGAUUCGAGAAGAUUUCAAAUUGAGUUCAAUUGCUAAAAUAAAAUUCGUUAACUCGACUAACUAGAAAUUUUUUGACUCGAUUGACUCAACUCGAUCGACUGUUCACCCCUAGUUAAGAUCACCAGAAUUACCAGUUCAAUACUUUGAUAUGGAUAUUUUUAAGAAAAUUGGUAGAGGUAUUAGAUCUCUCCUAAGAGUUGAUAGUCACACACUUGCUAAAGAAAGGGAUAUAUAUGGUCAUUUAUACGUUCAACUAAAUCUCCGUAAACCCCUUCCUCGUUUUGUUACUAGCGAAGGAUAUAAACAAGCUAUUAUUUAUGAAGGUUUGAAUUCUCUCUUGUUGGAAGAUCAACCACUCUAUCGAAAAAUGUCAUGCUUCUACUUCUCCAUUUGUUAAUGCUAUUAACCAUUUAGAUCCAUCGCACUUGGAUGUUCAUACCACUAGUCCCUCUACUUUUGAUGGCUAUGGUCCGUGGCUCAUUAUUCAAAGGAAAAACAAGCCAAAGCCGAAAGUAAUUGAUCUCAAGCUUACAACUAUUGAUCAAUUGUGAAGAAAAAUAUCUUGAAUAAAAAAGUGAAAGGUAAGGGAAAAACUAUCUCAAACUCACCCAACAAUAAAUAUCCUUAAUCCCACUUUGCCUCCUCCAACAAAGCAAAAAGCUAUUAGCUUCCCCUAUGACACCAACAUCAAUUUUGAAUGGUCUAGUGGGAUACUACUGGCGAUUUGUUAAAGGAUUCUCGAUGAUAGCUCUCCCAUUGACUAAGUUACUACAGAAGAAUAUCAAUUUUGAAUGGUCCAAGAAAUGUCAGAAAUGUUUUGAGAAGUUGAAAACAAUGUUAACUAAGGCACCAAUAUUAACACUAUAACACCUCAUACCCAACUCGAUCAUCAUAUCCGAACUACAGAAUGCCACAUUCGUUGCCGGAGCAAUUAUGAUUAAUCACAUGCAAAUUUCAAUCUUAAAUGCCCAAAUGCUGGAAUUGCAUACAUAAAACACGAAAACUAACCAUUUUUGGGUCAAAUAUGAGCUUAAGAAAGCUCAACACCAUCCAUAGGUUGAACUAGGACCAAACUAAAAAGCUUUUAAAAUAUUUCAAGUGGGCGUUGUGACUUCCAGAGCUUGGUGUCACGUCAUUGAAGACAAUAGCCAAGCUUUCCAAUUUGAAGACCAAAUUGUAAAGUUUUCAAAAUAAAACAGAGUCGACAUCGCGACCUCAAGCAAGAGUUGUCAUGACGAGAUGGCCUGAGGUUGCGGCAUUCAGGAUGUGAAGUUGCAACAUUGUAAGUAGACUAUUAGGUCCUUGUUUCAAAUGUUUUCUACCUAGCAUGUUUAACAUCAUUUUGCACCAAAGCCCUAAUUUCAUACUAUUAAAACAUGUACAAAAUAUGGUUAUCAAUCUAUUAACAUCACAUUCAUGCUUGACUAUAACCAAAAUCACAAAUCACAACCUUUAUACAAGUAUUUUGGACCAUUUCUAACAUUUGAUAAUAAUAAAAAAACCUUAGGUACAUGUUAGUAACAUAAUGAAAAAGGGCUAUAAAAACUUAGGUUGAGUUGAUUAGUGUCAUGUGAAUGCAGACUUCACUUUCCUGGGGCUUCAAGAAUACUUGAACUUGCACACAGAAUAAAGAAAUUGUAUGCUGAGCGAUAGGGCUCAGUGGUACUUUCAUUAUUCAAGAUAACAAAAACAUUCACAAAUUUUCAUAUAUAACACAUUUACAUAAUGUAUUCAAGUCUCAUCUAUCAAACCAAAUAAUUCACAUAUUUGAUACAAAUAAGAACAUAGAUAUGCCAAGUAACCAAUCCAUUCAUCAAUAUAUGCAUGGCAAAUGAACUAUGUAUACCAUUUGACAAAUCGCUUAUAUCUUUCUAGCUAUCCUUAUCAACUAUGUGGUCACAUAUCUCUAUAUGCAAUUUACAUUAUGGCAUUCAUGUUUCAUAGUACUAUUAUUUUCUUACCAAUCCCAUGGCAAGCCAAUUAUAUCCAACACAGCCCGAACAACUAAUUGGGUACCAACAUUCAAUCUAUUUUUAUGAUUUAAAGCAUAUAACAUUCCUUAAUCGUAAUCAUAAUCCAAAUCAUUAUCAUUAUCAUUAUCAUUAUCAUUAUCAAACCCAUACAUUUCAUAUUAUAUAACAUAUUUCAUUUCAAUUUCCAUAUCACAUAAUAUAAUUCAUGUUUUUCAUUUCAUUUUCCAUUUUAUUCAUUUUAGUCCUCUAUCCUGGUAAUCCCUACCAAACUUGAUCAAAACAUGUCAUACUAUCAACAUAUACUCACCUCAAUGAUUCACCAAUCAACAAACAUGCAUAUGCAAGCAAAUAUUUCUAUCUCAAAUCAUAAAAGUACAAACUGUUGUCUCGCGUCACUCAUCGACUACUCUCGCUUUCCCUUUCUCUCUCAAAGUUUCUAUGUCAACAUUAGCUAUGAAUAGUCAUGAAACAUAACACACUAUCAAUUUCCAGCCAAUCCAUAACAAAAUAUCAAUUUAUGCAUAUUUUAUCAUUUAUUCAAUUUAGUCCUUACAACUGAAACAAGCAUAACUUUCAAUCUAAAGUUUCGAAUUAAAAUUCGAUUUCACAUACAUUCAUUAGGAACCCCCUACUUUCUAUUCCUACUGAAAUUUCAUAAUAUUUUUUCAUUUUAUUCAAUUUGGUCCUUAAUGUACGAAACUAAUAAUUAAACUUUACAAUUUAGUCAUUUUCUUAAUCUAAGCUUAAUUUUUAACAAUUCCACACCUAAUUUAUUCAAUUCUCAACAAUGGCAACUUAUCAAAAUUUCACCAAUUGGUCAAAGUGGUCCAUGGGUUAGCUUAGUCAAGCUUCCAUGACAAAAAAAUCUAUAAAAAUCAAAGAAAAAUUACUAGGGACUUACUUGUAAAUUGAUCGAAUAUCAAGCUAGGUUUUAAGCUUUCUUCCUUCUUCAAAAAUGGUGGACGGUGGUUCUUGAAAAGAAGAUGAUAACUUUAUCAUCUUUUUCCCACUUAUUUAACUUAUAUAAUAUGAUUAAUUUUAGUUAAACUUAAUUAAUUUGCUUAAUCAUGAUUAAUUAAACCUUAAUCCUUAAUUAACUUAAGUUAAUGAAAUUUAACAUCACAUCCCACUAUGAUCCAUUUAAAAUAGGUCUAUUGGCCAUUUUAUUUUCUUGGAUAAUUAAUAUUUAAGUCCUCAAGCCUUAUCCUAAUAAAAAUCUAUAACGAUUAAAAUUUUACAAUUUAGUCACUAGGAUUUAAUUAACCUCAUUAUUUUUUUUUUUGCUAAAUUACCUAAACAAAUUUCAAUUCAUCAAUAUAAUAACUUCAUAAAUAUCACUAUUUUAUACUUACAAACUCAAUUUACGAUAACGAGGUUCUGAAAUUGCAUUUUCCAACACCACUAGAAAUUAGGUUGCUACAAACAUAACCUGAACUAAGAAAGGAUUUUGUAAUAUUCAGUAACGCGUCUCAUAAUGGUUGCCGAUCAUAAGAGUUUGAUGGAUUUUCUAGUGUUCAAUGACGCGUCUCAUAAAGGAUGUGCAUUGGUGCAAUAAGGUAAAGUAAUUGCAUACGUUUCUCAACAACUCAAACUUCACGAGAAGAAUUAUCACACUCACAAAUUGGAACUUGUAGCCAUAGUUUUUGCUUUAAAGGAGAAACUACCUUUACGGUAAGAGAUGUCAUGUCUUUAUCGAUCAAAAAAGUUAGAAGAAUUUGCUCACGUAAAAAUUAUUGAAAUAUCUCUAUAAUUCAAACUUUUAAUCCAACUCUUCGGUUACUUAGAGAGCUUUCAAGAAUUCUUAACACAUUAUUGAGAAAGGUGUCUAAUGGAUUAUAAAAUAUGGUUCCCGAAUUAGUUUCUGGCAUGAUAAUUAGACGAGCAUGGGUCUUAUUCGUUCUUUUAUUCAUGGCCCCUUUCUACCUAAAGAAGAUUGUUUCUUGGUGAAAAACUUUUAUGUUGGCUCUUAUAACUUUUCCUUUGCUAUUUCAAACAACAUCAAGGAUUGUAUUCUUGUGCACCCCACUUCUUCUUUUUUUUAAAGAUGGUCUUGAUGUUUUGUGUUGGAACGCCACUUCUAAAAUACUCUUCUUCAUGAAAUUAGCUUAUCAUAUUGCCUCCAACCUUAUCAACGCUCUUCUUGAUUCUAGUAAUUGGUUAUGGGCAGGGGCGAAUUUAGGUGGGCUGGUAAGGGCCUCGCCCCCCUAAAUUUGUAAAAUUUCAAUUGUGCAACACCCUAUACCCGGCUUAGACGUCUAGUCCAAGUUUAGAGAGUUACAUUAUAAAUACUCAAAUACUACGCAAGCCACAAUAAUACCAAACCAUGAUUCACAUAAAAAUUUAACACAAAGAUUAGUUAAAUAUAUAAUCUUCCGAAGCCAUACUAUUAUAGUUUAACGAAACUGCUAUCGAAAUAUUUUAAAGAAAGUUAAUAGUUCGACCAAGCUCCCACGGCACCGGCCCGUUCAAGUCUGCGAACCACCUGAAAUCAAAGUAAUAACAGAAUGAGUUGUGAAAUCAGUGCGUAAAAGAAAUUUAUUCAAUUAAUGCACAUUUAUAAAGUAGUUCCAAAUUCAAAGAUUCAGUUCGAUACAGAAGUAAUUUCAGUUUAGAUUCAGAGCAGAUCAGCUACAAAUGUACAUAUAUGCAAUUACAGGUCAUACACGAUACAAAUCAGAUUCAGAUGCAAUAUUCUUAUCCCCGCCCGCUACACACCGUCAUUGGCCAUCCCAACACACCAUUAAGGAUAUUCAAUGCUCAGCCAACCCUACACACCUUAAACUAUUUGUUGACACUUUUAUAGAAACGCAGAUUAGCUACUAAUUCAAUAUGCGACAAGCGCCAGAAUCAGAUUUAUACUUAUUGUGGCGUAGCCAAGAUUUUAGAACAGAUUUCUUCCUCCUUUACAAUAUCCCAACCCAUGCCGGUGCAGAACACAAAUGCCCAUAUGAUGUAUUCAGUCAUUCUAAUUCAUUUCAUAAUCAAAUAAGAUAGUUCAACAUCAAAAUAAGCAUUAUAGUGUCCUUAUAACUAAGUUGCUCACAGAUCAAUCUCAGGGUAUCAGACAGUUCUAAUAUAAUUAAUUUCAAUCAUUCGUAAAUCGAAGAGGACAGUAUCAGUGAUAAGUAACAUUUUUGGCCUCGAAAAUAUAUUUCGGGCCCCAAUAACAUGCCACACGACCAAGUGGCACGCCCAUGUGCCUUGCCCGUGUAUCUCCGAAGCAUAGACAGUGAGUUAUAUGGUCUGGACACACACCAGUGUCCCUGGCUGUGUGGCUUUAUACCUAACACAAUAAAUUACACGGCUUGGGCACACACCCGUGUCCCUAGCUGUGUGGUCUUGUACCAAAAAUCGUGAGUUACACGGCCUGGGCAAACGCCUGUGUCCCUGGCCGUGUGGUCUUGUACCACAAACAGUGAGUUACACAGCUUAAGCACACGCUCGUGUCUCUGGCCGUGUGAACUCUUCACUAAUAUGGCCAUACACGGUCUAGACACACGAUCGUGUGCCUUACAAAAUAAAGGUUUUUGGUACGCACCUGAUUUCGCUUUGACGAAAAAACAACACGAAGACUACCCAGAACCUAAUUAAGCACUCAAUAAUCAAUUACACCAUCGAUUUCAAUAUUUUAGCAAAAUCAACCUACCUCCAAGAUUAUGUCGAAAGUUUCGACGCAAUCCCAACUCAAUUCGCAUACUCACCUCGUACGAAACAGAGGAAAUCGGACUAACACGGUGGAAUAACGUCUCUUGCAAUAUCCUCACCUAAAAAGAUAACCAAUCGAAUGAUUAAACAGAACGUUCAAGCAACCUACCAAAAUCUCAUUUCAACAUAAUAUUGUUAACACCACGAAACUCGUAAAAUUAGAGAAACGUAACGACGAAACUUGCUUAAUACUCGUACAAUCAACCUUACAAGUAACAAAGAACUUCUAAUUAACGCAAAAUUGAAUACCGUAAAAGGAAAAAUAAAAGAACAGAAGAACCAGAAAAGAAAAUAACUUUUGAAAAACAAAGAAGAAGGUACGAUAGAAUUUCUUUAGACUAUCUUAAGUUAACCACCAUCCCAUCUUCUGGCAUUUGCAAAAAAUAUUUCCUAAUGCAUAUGAUGGGUUUCGAACUCAGAACCAAAUAGAAUAUAGAUAGAUGCUUAACCAGUGAACUAGCAGGCUCAUUCUUGAUACCGGUUUACCCAGAAUUGGACUUAACUACGAAACACAUGGAUGAAGGUUAUUUUAAAAAUAAUAACAAAACUUUUAACGAUGCUAUUGAAACUUCAGACCUUAAAAAAAAAGCAGAGCACAGAACCACAGAUACGGAAAUUUAAUUACUGUAAUUUCUCAUAAUUAAAUUCUUAAAAAUUUGGGGCAUUACAAUUCUCUCCCCCUAAAAGAAAUUUCAGCCUCGAAAUUUUACGUGAGUCAAACAGAUGCGGAUACAGUCGUCGGAUGCGGAUACAGUCGUCGGAUUGAUUCUUUCACUAGAGGAAUAGUUUUCUUCCUUAGCAUCUUAACAUCACAUUCCAAGAUCUAGACAGGUUCCUCUUCGAAUGUUAAGUUCGGUCGUAAUUCAAUCUCGUCGACAGUAACAAUAUGUGAUGGAUCCGACCGAUACCGUCUCAGUAUCGAGAAAUGAAACACAUCGUGAAUUUAAUCCAGCUUCGGCAAUAAUUCUAGCUGGUAUGUAAUGGGUCUGACACGUUUUAAGAUACGGUAAGGCCUAUUGAACCUCGGGUUUAAUUUACCCUUGUGUCCGAAACGGAUGACCUUUUUUCACGGUGAUACUCUCAAGAAGACUUGAUCACCAACAAAAAAUUCGAUGUCUUUUCUUUUUAAAUCAACAUAGGACUUUUGCUGAUCAGAUGCGGCUUUCAGACUGUCCCGAAUUACUCUCACAGUGUUCUCAGUUUCAGAAACCAGCUUAAGACCCAAUAUCUGACGUUCACUUAAUUCUAUCUAACAUAGCGGAGUAUGACACUUACGACCAUAUAAGGCCUCGUAGGGUGCCAUCUGAAUACUAGACUGAAAGCUGUUAUUAUAUGCAAACUCCACCAAUGGUAGGUACUCCUCCCAACUACUCCAGAAAUCUAUCACAUAACCCCGAAACAUAUCAUCUAUGAUCUGAAUAACUCACUCCCACUAUCCAUCGGUCUAAGGGUGAUACGUAAUACUGAAGUUAAGUCAAGUGCCUAAGGCUUCAUGAAGUUUCUUCCAGAACCGAGACGUAAAUCGUGGAUCUCUGUUAGAGAUGAGCAAGACCGAAAUUCCUUGUAGUCUCACAAUUUCGGUGAUAUACAGUUUAACUAACUUCUGUUAGGAGUAAUCUGUCCGAAUGGGUAUGAAGUGAGCUGAUUUGGUCAAUCGAUCCACCAUGACCCAAAUCGAAUCUUUCUUAGUAGGGAUUAAAGGCAACCCACUAACAAAAUCCAUCACUAUUUGUUCCCACUUCCACUGAGAAUUUUGACUGGUAGAACUAACCCGGAUGGCAACUAAUGUUCCACUUUAACCUUUUGGCACAUCAGACAGUGGGACACAAAAGCGACUACUUCUCGUUUCAGUUCGGGCCACUAGUAGAAUUCUUGGAGAUCCUGAUACAUUUUGUUCCCACCAAGAUACAAAGCAUAUGGACUACUAUGCGCCUCCUGAAGGAUCGAACGCCUCAACUCUCUGUCAUUAGGUACACAAAUCUGACCUUUAAAGCACAAUACGUUAUCGCUAUUCAAGCUAAAAUCGGAAGUCUCGUUCGAAUCAACAUCUUGUAGACGCUGAACUAAGAACUCAUCGCUCAAAUGUUUCACUCUAAUCUACUCUACCAAAUCAAUUUUACCUGUAAUUUAGCCAACAACCCUCCAUUCUCGACCAAACUCAGACGAGCCAACAUUGCUCUCAGAUCAGUCAGCUCUCUACGGCUUAGGGCAUCAGCUACCACAUUAGCCUUACCUGGAUGGUACUCUAUCAUGCAAUCGUAAUCUUUAAGUAACUCAACCCAUCGGCGCUACUGAAAAUUUAAUUCUUUUUGGGUUAGCAAAUUUUUAAGACUCUUGUGAUUGGUAUAAAUAAUACACAUUUCACAAUAUAGAUAGUGUCUCCAGAUUUUCAGAGCAAAUACAACUGCAGCUAGUUCAAGAUCGUGCGUAGGGUAAUUACCCUUGUGUGCCUUAAGCUAUUACGACGCAUAAGCGACCACUUUACCAUCUUGCAUAAGCACACACCCUAACCCAACAUGUAAAGCAUCACUAUACACCAGAAACUCUCAGGUCGAUAUUCGGUUGAACUAAGACAGAAGCUUGUGUCAAAACGGACUUGAGUUUACCGAAACUAGGCUGUUGUGCUUCAGACCACAUGAAUAGAGUAUUCUCACGCAAUAAUUUUGUCAGAGGUGAUGCAAUCAGAGAAAAUCUUUCGACGAACCUUCAGUAGUAGCCGGCUAAACUUAGGAAGCUACGAAGUUCAGAUACAUUUUUUGGUUUUUCCACUUAACAAUAGCUUCUAACUUCUUGGGAUCAACUCGGAUCCCUUCUACCGUCACUACAUGACCCAAAAAAGUGACUUCCUGCAGCCGAAACUCGCACUUACUGAACUUGGCAUAUAAUUAUUUUUCUUGGAGUAUCUGAAGUACAACGCGAAGAUGAUCAUCAUGCUUAGCUUUAGUUUUAGAGUAGAUCAGAAUAUUAUCAAUAAAAACCACUACGAAUUGAUUCAAGUACGGUUGAAACACCAGAUUCAUUAAAUCUAUAAGCGCCACCAGGGCAUUCGUUAAACCGAAAGACACUACUAGAAACUCAUAAUGUCUAUAACGACUCCUAAAGGUAGUUUUGUAAACAUCAGUCUCUUUGACCUUGAGCUGAUGAUAAUAAGAGAAUAGAUCCAUUUUGGAAAAAACAGAUGCUCUUCGAAACUGGUUGAACAAGUAGUAAAUUCUCAGUAGCAGGUACUUAUUCUUGAUUGUUAACUUGUUUAACAACCAGUAAUCUAUGCACAUCCCCAUUGACCCGUCUUUCUUCUUAACAAACAAUACCGGUGCUCCCAUGGAAACAUACUUGGUCGAAUAAAUCCCCUAUGAAGGAGUUCCCGAAGCUGUACUGUUAACUUGGUCAGCUUUUUUGGUGCCAUGCGGUAGGGCGCAAUGGACACUAGAGCAAUACCUAGUAACAUAUCAAUUCCAAACUCCACCUCUCUAUCUGAAGGUACUCCAGGCAAUUCCUCAGGAAAGACGUCUGAAAACUCCCUUACGGUGCGGAUAUCUCCCACUAAAAGUUUCAUGGGAACACAAUCGGAUACGUAAACAAGGUAUGCCUCGCACCCCUUCCAGACUAACUUGUCUGCUACAAGAGCGAAGAUUACAUUAGAGAGGUAAUUUUAACACUCACUAACCAUGACCACCUCGUCAUUCUCAUUCGAUCUCAAAGUAACUCUCUUGGUUACACAAUCUAGACUGACCCGAUACUCAACGAGCCAAUCUAUUCCCAAAAUCAAGUCAAACUCAUUAAAGGGCAAUUUCAUUAAAUCAGCUCAGAAUACCAUACACUGGAGCUUUAGGGGUACCUGUUUGUAUACCCUAUCAACUCAAAUUGACUGACCCAAAAGACUAAUCAUAGAAAACUCUUUAACAGUAUUCUAAAGCAACAUCACUAGCUAUAUAUGAAUGAGUAGAGCUAAUAUCAAUGAGAGCAUAAUACGGAAUAGAAUGAAUAAACCAAUAGUGGUUGAAGAGCCUCAGCCUGACCUGCACCUCUACCAGGUGUUCUCUGUCCUCUCCUAGAUCCAUUACCACCCCUACCAGUACCCAACCUCUGAAUGGUUGUUGAACCUCUCUCGGAGGCCGAACAGAAUUUAGAGCUGGAGUCUGUGCCGCAGCUGGCACUGAAUCUGGUCAUCAGGGGUAAUCCCUAACUCGAUGCUCCAUUGACCCACAAAGGAGGCAUGCUCCUAACUUCCUCCAACACUCGCCCGGAUGACGCUUCCCAUAACCACUACACAGCUGAAUCUCAAUUGCUACAAUUAGCGUAUUUGCUCUUAGAGGCCUAUCAAACCUCGUCUGCUUCUUAGGGCAUUGACCCAAACUAGAGAAGUUUGAAUCCCUCUUAAUCUUAUUAUGAUCCUUCUCAUGAUCACGUCCCUCGCGCUCAGUGCGCUCCACUUCUUCCACUACCUUUGCUUUGUCAACUAGGACCGCAAAAACCCACUCCUUCUGAGAAGCUACCGGAACUUGCAGAUCAUAUCUCAAUCCCUCCUCAAAUCGCACACACUUGUCAUAGUCAAACGCUACCAAAGUCCGCAUAUACCUAUUCAGUCAUAGAAACUCAGCUUCAUAUUUAGCCACAGAUCGGUCGCCCUGAACUAGGCUCAUAAACUUGAGUUGGCGAGCUUCAACAUAACUCGCCCCCACAUACUUACCCUGGAAGGUAUUCUUGAAAUAAUCCCAAUUAACCUGUUCGGGCUGAGCACCUUGUUCAACUGUCAGCCACCACCGAUAAGCUUCCUCCCGAAGUAGAGACACAGCACCCUUAAUUUUUGAAUGGGAGUAAAGUCGAGAUCAAUCAUAAUACGCUCGAUAGCCUCGAGCCAAUAUUCAGUAAUAGUAGGAGCGACUCAUAUGACACUCCUGAAUAAUUCAGCCCCAUUCUAUCGCAAUCGUUCAGUUUCAACCCUCGACCUCCCGAUCUCGAAUGGGUCCCUGUAACCCUCUCUAAUGCUCGAAUCAUGGCCUGAGACAGUAUGUCAUCCCCAGCCAUUAGAGUCUGGGACUCUGUUUCAGUAGUGGGUGUACCAACCAUCUCGCUAGUCUUCAGAUUGGGCAUACUACCCAUAGAGGAUGACUUUACUCGAGCUCCUCCUCGAAAUCCUCAACGCUCCAUCAUACCACGUCCAUUACUACCACGCGAACUCAUUAUGGUAAUCUAGCUACAAUAUCAGAGUACACAGAUUAGUUCACAUAUCCAGCAGUAUGAUUUCUCCAGUUCACAUCAAAACAUUUUACUCAUAACAGUUUAAGUAUUAUAAUCUUUAUAACAGAACAUAAAUACUUACAGGGUCAGCGUCGGAGGCUCGGUCGUUCACUAAAGUGUCAGUGUUUCUAUAUUAGUUCAGAUAGUAAAUUAUCACUAAGCUACUUUUCUCACACAUUAUGAGCCCAAACACAAUCCGAGUGUUGACAAACCUGGCUCUGAUACCACUAAAUGUAACACUCUAGACCCGACCUAGACAUCCAGUCCAAGUUUAGAGAGUUACAUUAUGAAUACUCAAAUACUAUGCAAGCCACAAUAAUACCAAACCAUGAUUCACAUAAAAAAUUCAACACAAAGAUUAGUUAAAUAUAUAAUCUUCUGAAGCCAUACUAUUAUAGUUUAACAAAACUGCUAUCGAAAUAUUUUAAAGAAAGCUAAUAGUUCGACCAAGCUCUCACGGUAUCAGCCCAUUCAAGUCUGCGAACCACCUGAAAUCAAAGUAAUAACAAAAUGAGUUGUGAAUUCAGUGCAUAAAAGAAAUUUAUUCAAUUAAUGCUCAUUUAAAAGUAGUUCCAAAUUCAGAGAUUCGUUUCGAUAUAGAAGUAAUUUUAGUUUAGGUUCAGUGCAGAUCAGCUACAAGUGUACAUAUAUACAAUUUUAGUUCAUACACGAUACAUAUCAGAUUCAGAUGCAAUAUUCUUAUCCUCGCCCGUUACACAUCGUCUUCAAGCAUCUCAACUCACCAUUAAGGACAUUCAAUGCCCAGCCAACCCUAGACACUUUAAACUGUUCAUUCACACUUUUACAGAAACGCAGCUUAGCUGCUAAUUCAGUAAGGGACAAGCGCCAGAAUCAGAUUUAUACUCAUUGUGGUGUAGCCAUGAUUUUAGAACAGAUUUCUUCCUCCCUCACAAUAUCCCAACCCAUGCAAAUGCAGAACACAAAUACCCAUACCAUGUAUUCAGUCAUUCCAAUUCAUUUUACAAUCAAAUAAGAUAGUUCAACAUCAGAAUAAGCAUUAUAGUGAACUUAUAACUAAGUUGCUCACAAAUCAAUAUCAGAGUACCAAACAGUUCUAAUAUAAUCAAUUUUAAUCAUUCGUACAUCGAAGAGGCCACUAUAAGUGUUAAGUAACAUUUUCGGCCUUAAAAACAGAUUUUGGGCCCCAAUAACAUACCACACGGCCAGGUCACACGCCCAUGUGCCUUGCCCGUAUGGUUCCGUAGCAUAAACAGUGAGUUACAUGUUCUAGACACAUGCCUGUGUCCCUACCCGUGUGACUUAUACGGGUUGGGUAUACGCCUGUGUGGCUUUGUACCCUAAAUAGUAAGUUACAUGGCUUGGGCACACGCUCGUGUCCCUGGCCUGUUGUCUUGUACCACAAACAGUGAGUUACACAGCCUGGGCACACGCUUGUGUCCCUAGCCGUAUGGUCUUGUACCACAAAUAGUGAGCUACACGGCCUAGGCACACGCACGUGUCCUUGGAUGUGUAAACUUUGCACUAAUAUGUCCACACACACGGCCUAGACACAUGACGGUGUGCCUUACCAGUGUGGCCCUAAAUUGAAUAAACAGUGAGUUACACGACCAGCCACACGGCCUAGGCAUACGCCCCUGUGCCUGGCCGUGUGGCGUCGACAACUACCAUUUUUUGUGACCUGAAACUUGCAAAAUUAAGGUUUCCGAUACGCAAAUGAUUUCGCUUUGACAGAGAAACAACAUAGAGGCUACCCGGAACCUAAUUAAUCACUCAACAAUCAAUUACACCAUCGAUUUCAAUAUUUUAUCAAAAUCAACAUAUCGCUAAGAUUAUGUUGAAAGUUUCGACGUAAUCCCAACUUAAUUCACAUACUCACCUCGCACGAAAUAAAGGAAAUCGGACUAACACAGUAGAAUAAUAUCUCUUGCAAUAUCCUCGCUUAAAAAGGUAACCAGUUGAAUGAUUAAACAGAACGUUCAAGUAAUCGAGCAAAAUCUCGUUUCGAUAGAAUAUUGUUAACAUUACGAAACUCGCAAAACGAAAGAAAAGUAACGAUGAAACUUACUUAAUACUCGCACAAUCGACCUUACAAGUAACAAAGAACUUUCAAUUAACGCAGAAUUGAAUACCAUAAAAGGAAAAAUAAAAGAAUAGAAGGAGAACCGGAAAAGAAAAUAACUUUUGAAAAACAAAGAAGAUGGUACGAAAGGAUUUCUUCAGACUACUUUAAGUUAACCACCAUCCCACCUUCUGGCAUUUGCAAAAAAAUAUUUCCUAACUCAUACGAUAGGAUCCAAACUUGGAAGCAAACAGAAUAUAGGCAGAUGCUUAACCAGUGAACCAGCAAGCUUAUUCUUAAUACUGAUUUACCCAGAAUUGGACUUAACUAUGAAACACAUGGACGAAGGUUGUUUUAAAAACUAUAACAAAACUUUUGACGAUGCCACUUGAACUUCAUACCUUAAACACAGAACCAAAGCACUGAACCACAGAUACGAAAAUUUAAUUACUACAGUUUCUCACAAUUAAAUUCUUAAAGAUUUGGGGCGCUACAAAUUGAGUCCUUUUGAAUUUUAAAAAUUUUUAUUUUGACCUUAUAAUUAGUAAUUAAAAUAAUAUAAAUUAUUUUGGCCCCCAAAGUUUUUCAAUGUUUCUUUGAAUUUGAUUUAUUUUAUAUAAUCUAUAAAUUUUUAUGAUAAAUUUAGUAACACUUUUAGUUUAAUUUGAUAAAUUAAUACAAAAUAGUGUCUAAAUAUUUAUUUGCUAAAAUAAUCAGAUAAUUUCAAUAUCUAAUCAUAAAAUAGUAUCUAAAUAUUAAUUAGGUAAAAAAUAAACUUAAAUAAUUACAAUAUUUCAUACAAAUUGAGUAUUAACUUAAUUUGUUUUUUUCUAAAUGUUAAUUUUGGUGAUCAAGAUUAUCUAGAAUUUAAAAAUACAUUGUUUUAUAGGCCAAGCUUACUUUCAACAUGUCUAUUUUAUAUAAAUACUUCGCCUCCCCCCUUAUCUAUAUUUCUGGCUUCACCCCUAGUUGUAGGUUUGGAACCUCAAACUUCCAAUUACACUCUCCUUUUCUCAUUUUGGAAAUUGUUGGCCUUCUUCUCCAAAUUUUAUCUUUCCUUUGUUUCAAAGGUCUUGACAUCUCUGUUAAAUACGCUUUCUGCAACUCUCACCCCGGGACAAUUGAACAUGUACUUUGAGAUUGUUCAUUCACUUAUCAUCUCUAAAGCCUUUGCUUUAUCCCCUUCAACUAUAGGUAUGGUCUCCCUCCCUUUAAUGGAUUGGCUCAAUGCUAAUUUAACAUCUAAAUCCUCCUUUCCCCAUCAUCGCAUUCAUUGGCCAACCAUGUUUUCUUUCUUCCUUCAUGGAUUUUGGAUUGCUAGAAAUGCAAUCAUCUUUGACAAACCCAUAAGUGAAAAUGAUAUUCGAUCUAAAGUUAUCACUCUUGCUAUGGAGUACUUUGUUAUUUUGUAUAAAAGCAAAUUUCGAAGAUAUUUUACCUCACUUCACGUCAAAUGGAACCUUCCUUUAAAUGGAUGGUUUAAAGUUAAUUAUGAUGGUUCCUCAUUAGGAAAUCCUGAAACUGUUGGUCUAGGAGCCAUUAUUUGUGAUCAUAAUGGUAAUUGGAUUGUCGAUUGUCAUUGUUAUCCGACCAUAACUACUAAUAUUAUGGCUUAGCUUUGGGCUUUUAGUGAUGAUGGUCUUGUGCUUGCUCAUAAUGUAACAGCUCAAUUUCAGUAGUGUCAAAAAUGGUGGUUUCGAGACCACGACUCCGAAAAGUGAGUUGUUAUUUUGAUAUAUAUUUAAUGUUUAUAGGGUUAGUUUAAGGUAUUAUUAAAUUUUUGUUAAGAAAUUUUGAAGAUUAAAUGGUUAAUUAAGUAAAAAGGACCAAAUUGUGAAAGAUGCAAAAGUUGGUCUUUAAUAGGUAAAUGGAUUAAAUGGCUUUUGAAAUUCAAAUUAAAGGACUUAGAUGGUAUUUAUACCAUAUGAAAAGUUAAUGGACGAUUAUGGGUUUAUUUUUGUCAAUUUGUAAACUAAUAAACUAAGGAUAAAUUAGUAAUUAAUAAACAAAUCUUAAACUAAAUUAAGCAAAUAGUGUCAUCUUCCUAAAAUUCUUCUCUUUCACUGAAAUUGAAGAAAUAAAACACCAUUUUUAAGGCUUUAAGGUUCGGCUAACAUAGGAGUAUUUCAUGGUAAGAUUUUGUGAUUCAUUUUUAGUAAUUUUUAUAUUUUUGAGCUUGUUUUAACUUAAUCUACCUAGCCCAGGGGUUAAUUUGCAAAGCUGUUAAAGGUUGAGGAACUUGCAAUGAAUGAAUUUGAUUUUUUUUAUGUUAGUUGAUAGAUUAUUAAUUUUUAUUGUUAAAUUAACAUGAUUUGUUAAGUGAAUUUAGGAUUUAGGGAUUAAAUAGCAUAAAUGGUAAAUUCUAUGAAUUUUGAGUGAAAUGAGUAAAAAUGUGGGUUGAUAUAAGUUUAGGGAAGAAUCAGAUAACAUGUUUUGGGUUAGGAAAAUGGUGAAUUUUCAAGUUAUGGGCUUAAGGACUAAUUUGUAUAAAAGUUAAAAUAUUAGGGGUAAUUUUGUAAUUUUAGAUUAAUAUGAUUUAUAGGUUGAAUUGAAUACUUGAGGUUAAUUGAAGUACUUAGUUGAAUUAAAUUAUCUAUUUAGAUUCAGAUAAACAACAAUCAGACCUAAAUUGAAGAAAGGCGAAAGCUUUAGAUUAAUCUCCAACUCUACUUUUGCGACUAUAGUUAUCGAGGUAAGUUCGUAUGAACUAUAAUCUUAUUAAUGAUAGUUGAUUGAUUAUAUGCUAUAUUAUGAUGGUUAUAAAUUGACUUGAAUAUAUAAAUAGAUUGACGUUUUGAGUAAUUGAUGGAUAAAUAAUACCGUUUGAACCUUAAGAAUUCUUAGGAUACGAAUGACAUGUCAUUAGGGAUUUCAUGUUUCAGGUGCUGGUCUUAAAUGUCCUACUGAUGGCUGAGGACCUGCAUUUGUUGCGGAUUCUCCACAGCUCGUGUGAGCAGCAUCGUGUAGCUAACAUUCUAACCCACAACUCGUGUAAGCAGGCCCAUUUCACAGCUCGUGUGAGUACUAUUGAAAAGGAAAUGUUACGGUUAUAUGGAAAGGCACACUGUGUGAGCAUUCCCAAGUAUCCAAUGUAAUUCUAGAUGGUUCAAUGGGUAAGCAAAGGAUAAUGGCAAGGUAUGUAUACAAUUGGAUAAUGGUUCAUAAUCUUAUGAAAAGGUUAAUGUAAUAAAUGAUGUGUACAUGAAAAUCUACUUAUGAUAUGGUUGAACUUAUAUGUAUCAUGUAUGAACUUACUAACUUGUGAAUUUGGUGGUGCUUAUAUAGGAUUUUACUAAGCUUAUGAACAUGGUAAUGAUGUUAUGUAUAAUUUACAAAUUGAGCUUAAGAAUGGUAAGUUAUGUUUGAGUUUAUACGAGCUUACUAAGGACUAGUUGUUUACAUAGUUAUUUUCCUUUGUUUCAUAGAUUAUCAGAAGCUCGAUCGGUUGGAAGCUUCUCAGAGAUUUAUCACACUAUCUAACAAUCACUUUGGUAGUUUUUAAGUUAUUUUGGACAAGGUUAUAAAUGGCAUGUAUAGGACCUUUUUAUAAUGAAUGUUUUUGAGUAUGUUAAUGAAAAUUUUGGUAUGAGUAUAUCUUUUAUGUAUUUACUUUGUUUGUGUGGACUUAUAAUGUUUUAGCAAAGUUUAUACCCUUGAGUUAGGUUUUAGGUAUUUUGUAAGAUAUGGUGUGGUUGGUUUUUUAUAUAUUAAAGCCAUAUGAUUAUGGUCAUUUUAGCAUGUUUUAAUGAAAGGUGAAUGGUUUGACAAUUGAUGUCAUUAGGUAUCUUAUUUGACUAUGUUUUUGUGUUUGAGAUGUGGCAUUAACUUUGUUUUGAUUGAAGUUGUUUUUGUACAAAUGUGGUGCUUUUGAAUGGCAUAUUGGUUAGGUGAAAUAGUUUGAUUGAAUUGGUAUGUUUAUGUGUAUUUGAAAGAUGUUUUGGUCUAUUGAAUGUAUGCAUAAAUGGAGUGGGUGAUUGGGUAAAUUUUGGUCUUAAAAUGGCUUGUUUAGGGUUAAAUUAUGGAGCACACUACCUGGGACACGAGUUGUCACACAGCCUGGCUACGCGAUCGUGUGUCACUUAUUAUUUCAAUUCAGUGAGUUACACAGUCUAGCACACGGCCUGCGACACGACUGUGUGUCACAAAUUAGAAAGUUACACGGUCUGGCACAUGGCCUGCGAUACGACUGUGUGACCUAAAUCAGGGAGUUACACGAUUUAAGACAUGAGCUGGGACACGACCGUGUGUCUCUUUGUUCAAACACCACACGGUUUGGGGUAUGUCACACAGCUUGGCCACACGGCCGUGUAACCCCUGUUUUUAAAGUUUUCAACUUUUUCCCAAAUUUUUUGAAUUGUUUCAAAUUAGUCUCGAAUUGUUUCCGAACUAUUUUUAGGGCCUUGAAGGCUCGUUUAAGGCCUAAAGGUAUAUUUUUGCUAAGUUUAUAAUGAGUUUUAUGUAAUUAUCAUUAAAUGAAAUUAUUGUUCAGAUUGUAUGGUAAUGCUCUGUAACCCUAAUCUGAUGACAGAUACAGGUUAGAGGUGUUACACAUAAAAUGAAUAUUAACAAUGUUAUUAUCAAACUUGAUGCCAUAGUUGUUAUUGAUCUCAUAAUCCAUCAUUCAAAUGAUAAUGUUUUUCUUAGAUCUCUUAUUUAUAGUUGCAAGACUCUGUUAAGCAUAUUCCUAAGUAGUCAGCUUCAACAUACCUACAAGGAGGGUACUUGUUGCACUAAUGCUUUGGCUAAAGCUGGAAUUCAUGUUAAUCCUAACAUUUUUGUCUCAUGUUAAUACCUCUAAUGACUUUUAUGUUGUGUAUUUUGAAAUCCCAGACUUUAUGCGUACUCUUGUGAAUGCCAACUUAGUUGGUACACCUUUAUACCAUACUUUUUAUAACUAAAUAAAACUCUCCUUUUAUAACAAAAAAGAAAAGGAGAGAAAGUGAAUAAAAAAAAAAGAAAGGAAAAACGAAAAAGAGCGACGAGGGUUGAGGAAAUAGCUGACUGAAUGUUGGUAGGCUUUUAUCUAGCAUGAUAAUCCAUUAUUAGAAAGGAGGGCAUUCAGGAGAGAGGGGAGGAGAUGAGAGAAAGAGAGAAUAAAAACGGGAUGAAGAGGGAGAAAAGAUGAGGAAGAGCUUAGCCAUCUACUAUCUAGUUGUCCUAAAGCAGAACUGCCACUUGUUUGUCUUAUCUAAUUGGGCUAUGGUUGAUUAUAGACUUGUCUAAUGACUAGGCUACUUAAAGGAAGAGGAAAAAAAACACUUUUGGUAAUAUUUGGAAAAACGAGUUUAGGGAGAGAGAGAGAGUAUGUCCAUUUAGAAAAUGGUUUGAACUUGGAUUUCAACAUUCAAUACCCAAGCACAACCCAUUUUCUAACUUUAUAAUAUAAUAUAUUAACUUUAUUUUAUUGUUAUAUACUACGUAAUAAGAAUUAAAUAUGUAAUACUAUAAUGAAUAUAUUAAAAAAUGUUAAGUUGUAUUUUAUUAAAAAAUUCUAUUAAAAUAAAAAGUAUUAAAUUACUAACUAAAGUAAUAUAUUUUUAAAAGAAAAAUAAAAAAGAAUAGGUCUAAACAAGCUUGAAUUAACUAUUUAUAAAUAUAAGUAAGUUUGGACAAAAUUUUAAGUUCAUAUUUCGAACCGAGUCAAACUUAUCCAAAUAUUUAUGAUAUUAUUAACAUGCAUAAAUUUGACUUGACUUAACCCAGGAGCACCUUUAAUUGAGCACAACCUCUCCUCCUUUCUUUUACUAUUUAUUUUAUAGUUUAAAAUCUAAAAAAAAUCUUAAUAUUUUUUUAGCAAAACAAUUAGAAUUUCUUUUUUUGAAUUCCUAUAUAAAUUUUUUUUAAAAAUUCAAUAUAUAUUAAACUUUUAAUAUUAUGUUUUUAAAUCUGUAAUAUUUUAUAACUUUACAUUACGUUUGGGUAAAUAAUUAUAAAAGAAAGGAAAGGAAAGGAAAGUAGAAAAAAGAAAGGUUAAGGAAAAGAAAUGAUAUAUUUUGUUUUGUUUGGAUAGUUAAAAUUAGUAAAGGAGAUAAAAAAAACUUUGUUUAGUUAAAUUGUGAAAAGUUAAAAGGAAAUUAUUGUUUAUAAAAUUCUUUUUUCUAAUAUUUAUAUACUUCUUAUAAAAUAUUUUAGGUAAAAGGUUAGCAUAAUAAAAACGAUAUUCCAUAUCUUAAUAGAAAUUUAUUUUAAUUUAUCUUUUCCCUCAAAUUGGUGUAAAUAAAAACUAAAUAAUUUAAGAGAAGUGGUGAAUAUUCAACUCCUAUUGUUUUCUCUUAAAUAAUAAUAAUAAUAAUAAUAAUAAUAAUAAUAAUAGUAAUAAUAAUAAUAAUAAUAAUAAUAAUAACCUUAUUCAAGCAAAAAAAAGAAAGAAAGAAAGAGUAUUAUUUGGAAGGCUCUCUCCUACAUUAACUAGUGGUCGAGAAUUUAAUCUUUACUUUAAAUAUGAAGCAGCUUUAAAACUUAAACGUGGAUGAAUAGUUAUUAGAUAUAUUCAAAUAUAUAUAUAUAUAUAUUCUCUUACUUCCCUUUUCUUUGUUAAAUUCAAAGGUAAUAAAUUUAGAAAUUUUAAUUCUAAUAACAUGGGUAGCAUGAUUAGGCAUAUGUGACAUUAUUGGGUGUUAAGGUACUCAUCACCUCAUGUUAGUGAUUGGGGUUGCAUGGUUAUGGGAAUCAAACCAUCGGCAGUUAUCUGGGCCCAAUUCUUUUAUUUUAUUUUCACUAAUUUAAAAAAAAAAAGUGAUGGGUAGAAGUGCGAACAAUGUUUUUAACCCCAAACAUUGUUUCACAGCAACGCAUUUGGUAAUACGCUUUCUCCGUCAAGAGAAAUAAAAAUUAUUUUUCUUAUUUGAUUCUAAUCACUGUAAAUAAAAGCGUUACCAAUAGAUUUAGAUAAAUUAAUUAGUAAUUUACAUAGGGUUUAGGUAGUAUUGGAAAUGAUAACAUUAUCGUAUAUUGAUAUCAAAUAUCAAAGUGUAUGAGGUUAAAUGUAGUUUCAUAGUGUGGCAAAAAGGAAGAAUGGAAUGAGCAAGUGAGCAUAGGGUGCCAAACAUUGUUGUCUCCUUCGAACCGACUGAUCCAUCUUUAAUUGGGCCACUCCACUUCAAUUCCAUCCCAUGCAUCAUGUAUUAAGCCUCCUACAGUUCUACCCCACUCCCAUGUGAGACCAUCCCCCUUCGCCUUCCAUGCCCCUUUUUGAAUGGAUUGGGAUAUUUCCAUCUUUUACCUAUUUAAUUUUUAAUCCUAUCACAUUCCAUACGGUUUAUUGUUUAGGGAUAAACAUUGAAAUUGUAUAUAUAAUGGGCAAUGUCAUUCAUGAACUUUGAUUUUUUAUUUGAUUUGAUUCAAUUUUCACUAAUCACUAGUAUUAGCAAAUUAACGUCAUUUUACGUUGAUAUAGUACCUAUACAAACCAUUAUAUUAAUCCAAUAUGUGUAUUCAUUUCUUUAAUCUGUACAAUUAUAUCGAAAUUAAAGUUUCAUGUAUACAUAUGACCCACUAUUCAAGUCUCAUGUGUAUAAUUACUCAAGUAUAAUGUGUACUAUCAAAUAGUUUUUAUUAUAAAUUACCAAAACUAUUUUUAAUAAAAUUAAAUUAUUAAAAAUAUUAAAAUUUCAGUUGAUGCUUACCAAUGUAUAUUAGUUUAUCAUAUAUAAUGGAAUUAUAUAUAUUUAAUAUAUAUUCUAAAACAUUAAAUUAAAAAAAUAAUGUAGAAAUCCCUGCAAGUAGAUAAAUCAAGCCCUGCUCUCACCCCGUUCUAUCUAAUCCCCUUAUUGAUUUUGUAUGUGACAGCUGACAAAAUCCAUUAGAUAAACUCCUCACUAAACCUUAAAUUCUAAGGUGUGUUUCAACUACGCACUUCCUUAGUUUGUGUUGCUAUAAGAUUACAAUUAAUGAGAAAAGAUUGUAUGUAACUUGGAUUUCACGUCAAAUUUUUCCCCCUGAUUUCCUGUUUUAAAAUGUUAGAAAUUAUGAAAAAAAUCUGAUUUGUCAUUCUUCUAUUAAAAAGAAAUAGAGACGACAUAAAAUCACAAUUUCUUACAAUACUUUCUCUACAUUUAGUAUUGUUAAUAAUAGGAGGUUUUUAUUUGCAUUUUAAUAGAUAAAUUAGCACUUAAAACAUAAAAGCAUCACAUACAUUCGUAAACAGAUGUAAUUAUUAAAAUGCAAAGAAAGAUUUCGGUCGUGUUGUGUGUUCCAAAGAAGACUUAGCCUAUCCGGCCAGGCAAGGAAGGAAGUGGAAGGCUUACAGAUACAGUUACAGGGUCCGAGAGUUGAGAGUCAGGUCGGGUCUGUGGGCUGAAAUAUGGAUGAGAUUCAGUUAAAAGCCGAUUAGUCGCUUGCAGGCUUCAAAUAUUCUGGAAGAAGACUUCUUGCUUUUUCUGGGUUGGAUUGCAACAUUAUGAAAUUCAGUGAGAGAAAAAGGGUGAGGAUCAUCGAAAUAAUGGAAUAUUUUGUAAUAUCCUCUCCUGCCCUUGGAAACACAAGAAGAGGAGGAGGUGGAUCUGGAUCUCCUCAUGGAGAAUGCCCUUCUCACCGCCGUCUCAAGUGCCGAGCUCUGUUUCUCAGUUCUGAGGGCUACGGUCGACGCAUUCGAAACCGAACGGCUUCUGCUCAGUAUUACCCCAAACGCCUCUCCUUUUUCUGAUGAUUCUACAGCUCUGCUAUUACUGUAUACCUUUGGAAACUCCAUGCCUCUCUCUUGCUUCAUGCUUGUGUGGUGGCCAAAAUUUGAUGACUUAUGAAUGGUUCAUGCUCAGCGCACACUCGGAAAAUGGGAACUCGGAACUUGAUUUGGUAGCAGGUUUGGUUAGGCCACCAAAGAUUCUACAUUUGUCUAUGCUUAUUUAUUGAUUUCAGACAUGCAUUAUUUUUUUCUUUUUUGUUUUUUUACCCACUCAAAACUAUGUAUUAUUAAGAGAACAAACCUUUUUUAAAAUAAAAGAAAAUUACAACAAUUGACGUGGUAAAAAAAUAAAAUUAUCAUGGAAGUCAUUAUACUAUAUUGCAAAUUGCAUUUUAACACUAAGGGUAUAUUUGGAGAGCAAAUAAUAAUGAAAGUAUACUUAUUAUGGUAAUAAUUAUACUAUUUUGUAAUUAUAAAGAAUUGUAAUUUUUUAGACACGUUUGGCUGACAGAAUAUAAUUACAUCAUAAUUCUCUGUGUCAUGUUUGGUAGUAUAAAUUAUAACUACACAUUUACAUAAUUUAUAUUUUAAAAAAUAUUAAUUACUAUAAAAAUAUUAGUCUGAUAAAAAUAAUUUAUAAACAAGUAACAAAAAUUAAUAUUAAAUCAUCACAUGUAUUAUGUUAGUUUGAAAAAUUAGUUGACAAUACGAUUGCUAAUAGAAAUAACAAGAAAAAUAAACAUCAUAUAUGCAAUUUUAUCUAAUUGUUCUAGUUCAUAUUUGUUGGGUUAUUCUCUUUUUAAAGUUUAAUAUAUACUCCUUAUCAUCAUUUAAAUUUGAUUCUGCAUCAUUAAGGUCAUUAAGAUCUUCUUUGUUCAUACACUCUUUAGAGUAUGGUGCAUCUCAAUUCAACCUAUAAUUAAAGUUAUAAAAUAUACAACAUGCUAGUUCAAUCCAACUUUUUUUUUAUAUUAUAGGCUUAAUGACAAAUUUGGCCACUAAAGUUUGCAUGUUUUGUCAAAAUAGUCUUAAUUGUAUUUUUUGAGCCUUUUUUUGCCAUCAACUUCUGUUCUUUUUUUCAAUUUACUUUUUUCUAACACGUUUAAUGAAAAUACCGUUACAAAAGUUAAUGGGGAUGAUGUGGAAUUUCAUAUGUGGAAUAUUUUUAAUGAGAUAUAAUUUAUUACUUAAAUAACCCAAUAAGACAAUAGCAUGUGAAAAAUAAUAAAUUAAAUUAAAAAACAACUCUUAAUUUAAAGAAAAUAAGCAUAAUUAUCGAAAAAAAAGUAACUAAGUAGAAAAAUUUCUCAGUAAAUAAACAUAUGAAAGAUUGAAACCUUUUAAAAGAAAAUAAAUAUUGAAACCUUGAAUUCAUUAAAUCUAUUAGAAAAAGCAGAUUGAAAAAAAGAACAAAGGUUGAUGACAAAAAAAAGCUCAAAAAUACAAUUAGGACCAUUUUGACAAAACAUGCAAAUGUUAGUGGCCAAAUUUAUCAUUAAGCCUAUAUUAUAUUAAUGUGAUGUUGUUAGUAUGAGAAAUAUCAUUUUAGAACAAUAAGUGUAUUCUCAAACACAUUUCAAAACCUUAAAUGUUUCACAUUAAAAAGUUUGUGAUUUGUCUAUGGUUCUUAUGUCUAGCAUUUUUCUCUCAAAUAAUAUCAUACCCCAUGAUAUGCUGCAAGAAAAUCUUUUAUAUUUGCAUAACUAGCAUCGACAUUAUAUAUUUGAAUUUGCAGCCAAAUAGUCUAUAGCUUUAAUUAUAAAAACUUAUAUAAACUUAAUUUGGAGAAAAACAUAUGCUAGGUUAUAUCCCUUUUUAUAAUACAUAAAUUAAGUAAUAAAUAAAUAAAAUUUUUAACAUAAAACCUUUACAAUAAAAAAUAUUUUAUAAAUUGUCCAAAACUUUCAUAACACUUCUUAUAAAUAAUAUAAUUUUUUUGUCAUAACUUUAGAAAGUUAAUUUUUAUAAAUAAGUUAUGAUAAAAAUAUUUAUAACAUUAUUUUUAUGAAUAAGUAUAUUAUAUUUAUAAUAUAUAAUAUAUACACAUAAAUGAAGUAUGGCCAUACUUGGCCCUAAUUUUUUAUAGGUAAAUAUAUAUUAUAACACUUUUACUGUAACACUCUUAACCCGAAUCCGUUGCCGGAGUAAGGUUACGGAGCAUUACCAGAGUUUACAAAUUAAUUAUCAGACAUUUCAUUUCAUCUAGCAUUCAUAUUUGAAACCAAUCAAAAUUAAAACAUUAAUGAGCCAAUGUUGACCAAAUUAACUUAUACAUGCCAUUAUAACCAGAAUCAAAUCAUCCAAAAUUUCCGAUAGAACCAAUGGAUAGUGUGAGAUAUCUCCGACAAGCUUCCAACCCAAUCGAGCUUCCAAUAAUCUAUAGGGUAAAUAAAAACAAAUACGUAAGCAAUGAAUGCUUAGUAAGAUCGUGUAGUCUUUAAUCAUAUUAGUUCAUUUAAAAUAUGAAAUCUAUACAUAUCUAGGAUAACUCAACAUUGAUACCACAAUACUCAUGAAGCUAUAUUCAUCAACUCACAAGGUGAAUAAAUCCACAAUAUCACUUAAACAUAUUAUCCCAAGCUUAGUAGGAUUUUAUAUAACUUUAACUCUUCAUAAUUUCUUUAUUUUCAUUUGCAUUUCUUUACUUUCCACGCUUAUUCCAUAUGCAUGUCACACAAGUCAUAAACAUAUCAUUCAACCAUGGUCACAAGCUAGUGCAUUUAACCAAAGCCUUUCCCAAACUGAUCACAUGAUAAGUCAUUUCAUAAGAAAUUGCUUAAUUUAAACCUUACCACUUUUUCAUGAGCACUAGCAUAUUUUCACUUAAAUACUUACCAAUUCAUAUCAUCAUAUAAAUAAUCAUAUUACCAUUCAACCAAUAGCUUGACACUUGCCUAAGCAUCAAACAACAACACUAGUUAGCAUACUUGCACAUAUUACAUAUAAUUUCAACUUUGAUAAACUUAUUUUCUUGACAUGUCACACUUGAGUUAUUUACUUGUCUCCACUUACAUACUUUCCAUAUAUCAACAUAUCAAGAUAUUGAUUUAAAUACAUAUCGUAAUGCAUAUCAUUCUCUUACCAUUUCUUCAUAUUCAUAUAUAUAUCAUUCAAAUCAACUCCCGAUAUUUUACCUUCCGAAGAACGACUUACGGAUAUGAGUACAUCAUUUUCAGAAGCCCAAAGGCUGAACAGAAGCUCAUGAGAGCUAAACAGGUAGUAAACACGAAAGUUCGCAACAAAUGCUGAACCUUGGUUUACUCGGGUAAUUUACUGUCAAUUCGUCCUUUACAUUCGUAGUGCCAUAACCCAGUUAUGGUCUUAUCAUCAGAAUACCAUAGCCCAGUUAUGGUCUUACAUAUAAACACUGCCAUGGUCCAACCAUGGUCUUACGUUCAUAGUGCCAUAACCCAGUUAUGGUCUUAUCAUCAGAAUGCCAUAGCCCAGCUAUGGUCUUACAUAUAAACACUGCCAUGGUUCAACCAUGGUCUUACGUUCAAAGUGCCAUAACCCAGUUAUGGUCUUAUUCGUCAAUUCAUCCUUUGCCACAAAACGAUUGUACUCAAUCCUGCGUUCAAUCCAAACUGAGUAUUAAAUUCGAUAAUAUAUUUCCAACAAUAAUUCAAUUCUAACAAUAAAAAACAUAUUUAUAUAAUAUUCAUCGCCAAAUAGCAUUCAAUUUAAUCAAAAUUAUACAAAAUAUAGUUCAUACAAACUUACCAGGCUAAAUUGCAGGAAUACCAAGAUAUAGGGGUAUUUUGGUAAUUUUUCAUUUUCCUCGAUUUUCCACCCGAUCUUGAUCUAAAUUAAUAUUUUAUUCAAUUUACUAAUUUAAAUAAUAAAACAAUUCAUUUCAUGCAAUUUGGUCAUUUUUACAAAAUUGCCCCUAAAAUUUUACUUUUAUUCAAUUUAGUCCCUGAGUCCAAAUCAUGCAAAUUAACCAUUUUUAAUGCAAACCCAUGCUAGCAAAAUAUUCAUAUAUUUUCCUCCUCUCCAUUCCACACCCUUAAUGUAUAUAGCAUGCUUAUGUGUAAUAUUAUCUAUAAUUCUACUAUUUACUUAUGUUCAUAUCAAAGCUGUCCACGCGAGUCAUAGUCAAUAAAUUAUUUAUAUAUUGAGAUACGAAACUCCGAAUUAAGAUCCGCUAAAUUUCUCUGAAACUAUACUCACAUAUAUUCUUACCAUAAAAUUUUCAGAAUUUAUGGUUUAGCCAAUAAGUACAGUUUAUUCCUUAAAGUCAUCCCUGUUCUGUUGUCUGACAGUUUUGACCUUUCUUCACUAAAAAUCAAUUAUCUCUUCGUACGGGAUUUGGAAGAUGUUCCCAUUUGUUUCUAUAUACUCAUUAAUAAUUUUAAACAUAUAAAUUCUAAACCAUAAUUAUUUUUAUACAAUUUUUAAUGAUUUUCCAAAUUCAGAAUAGAGGAUUCCAAAAUCACUCUGGCUCUGUCUCAUAAAAAUUCAAAUAUCUCAUAAUAUGAAAUUCUCUUGCUUAAACUGUUUCUUCUAUGUAAAACUAGACUCAAUAAGAUUUAAUUUAUAUCUUAUUCAACUUCUAAUUCAAUUUCUAUGAUUUUUGGUGAAUUUUCAAAGUCAGACUACUGCUGCUGUCCAAAAUUGUUUUAGUGUAAAAUGUUGAUAACCAAAUUUAUAACACCCUCCUUUCCUUUCUCUACAAUAUUUCUCAUCACUUCCUCUUAUUUCCCUUCACUAGCAUAUCAAGAACAUAGAAACUUAUAUAAAUAAACUCUACUUUAACAUCAAUUUCAUACUUUUUCAGUAAUAUCAAACUCAUAAAUAUUUUGAAAUCUUGAUGUUCUUACAUUGCCCUAUUGAUUUCAAUCUUUAACUUGAUUGUCUCUCUCCUCUAGCUUCUAUUUCUUAAAUUUAACUUGAUAUUCUAGCUCCCCAUUGUCUCCUUAUCAAUUUUCUCUCUUGGUGGCUAUGGAAAGUUUUUUAAUUUCUAAGUGAAAAUGGUAGAUUUUUGGUGAAAGGACCAAAUUGUGAAGAAAAGAAAUUUUCUUUCUUUCUUUUUCUUCUCAUGUUGGAAGCAUGAAAAGAUGAAAAACUCUCUUCAUCUUUCUUCCCUUUUAUAUUAAUCAUUUAAUAAUAAAAUAAUAAUAAAAACCUAAAUAAAAUAUUAAUUAAAUAACAUUUAUCUAAUUAAUUAAUUAAAAAUAUCACCAACAUCAUCAUUACCUUCUAGAGUUCUCCCUCUUUCUAAUUGACCAUUUUUCCCUUCAUGAUCUUUUACAAUUCAAUUCUUGAGUCAUUACUUAAUUUGGUAAAAUUACGAUUUAGUCCCUUAUAAUUUUUCACCUAUUCAAUUUGGUUCUAAUUCAUCCAUUUUUCCUUAGUUUCUAGAUCAUUCCACCCUUAAAAUAUUUUCACUAGGCUGUAGGGGCGGACUACUCUACAUUCAGCCACGCCACAGUGACCCCCGAAGCGAUCUUCUUCUAUUUGCGGGACGAAAUCCGGCAGCCAAUUGCUGGCUCUGAAUAACCAGCCCAGCAAUAAGUUCAAUUCUUCCAUAACAUAAUGGGGCGGGGUUGCGCGCGAGCCGAGUGACGUAGGUGCACAAGAGUACUUCGCGCCACAACCAUCUCUUUUUUAUAGGUUAUACGGACCGAUGCCUGCUGCUUCAUCUGUGAGAAAAGAAUUAUAGAUAUGCCGGUCAUUAGAAGGAAGAACCGCCAUAAAAAGAUUCCUCGUGUAUCAUCUGUAGCAAAACUAUGAACGGGAGCUAGCAAUCCGGACCGUAUUGAAAAGGUUCCUAAGACACAGCAUGGAAAAGUCACAAUAUUAAGAAACGAGGUGUGGCUAAUACCCGAGGCAUAAAAGAAGCAUUUUCUACGGGAUCCCGAAACCACCAGCCCCCCGACCUAAUUCAUGAUAAGCCCACAACUUCCUGGCAAGUGCCUACGGUUAAAAACCACCAACAUGUCAAAAUCCAAAUUCGAACUGGUUCCUGGUCUUGAUCAGAUACCACUGUGUUCGCGGCGGCGGUCCAACAAAGAGGCGAAGUAGUGGUAUCUUUCUUUCCAUUACGAACGACACGCUUCGCCUGCUCCCUCCACGUGUCCACUAGCGCUCCUGUCCAGCAGAGCGAAGAGAAGGCGAAAAAGCACCGCCGAAACAGCAUGAGCGGGCUUCUAUUGCUGCGUAACAAUAGAGCAGGAUAGCAUUUUGCGCCCACAUGUUUGAAUUUGAGGGUAAAAAGCUCGCUUGUUAUACAGGAUCCGACGCAUCCAGCAGAGCAAAGCAGCGUUCCAUUCUUUUCGGCGGCAUCCUUCCGCAUUGGCGGCGAGUGGAGUGCCACAAUCCCAUUCAUCAUUUUUGAUCUACAUAAGCCAAAGCCCAUAGCACUGGCGACGUCUCCAGCAUAAAUGCAAGGAGGAUGUAUAGCUGAUAUAGGAUCUUGUGGAACAGGAUUUGAUUCCGCAAGCGGUUCGGUACGAACGAAGAAAUUUCGAACAAAAGGAUCGGAACUCACUGAUAGGAAAGGAGAGAAAAACAAAGCAAUGCCAAGAGCUCCAUCAAUCCGCUGUUCAUCAAUAGACGAAGCUCUCUCUUUAUCAUCUCGUGCCAGAUGUAACAAAGGAUGAGUCUUUUUUCCUUCUCGCGAACCACGGGAGCGCCUAGCGCCCAAAGGAGAAAAGCUCAUUUUCCUUUCAGGGUAAAGUGGCGCAUAAAAAAGGGCUGGUCCGUCAAAAGUCCGGUUCCUUCGCGAACAAAGUUCAGAAUCAACAAAGGUUCGCAGAACGAAGGGAGUGUACAAUUGUUGUGCAGCCCCACUUUUUUGUUCGUAACGAGGGAGAGAUAGAAUAGAGUUCUUCACGAAGUUCGAGACAAAAAAAGAAAAAAUAGUUUCUCUAUGGCCUCCUCGUUUUGAGACAUUAUGCCUUUGGGGUCGACCCCGGUAACAAAGAAGGAAUCCAUAAAAAUUUGGGAUCCGACACCAUGAUAAAAUACUACCCUCAUGAUUAGACCAUGUCCCUGAGAUUUGAUAAAAGAAAGGUGCAUUAGCGGUUAAUACGUUGUAAUUGGAUAAGUUAUUAGGAAUAUGACGGAACGAAAGACCAAGGAAAGAAAGAAGAAUGCACCAAAAUGCAGGUGCUGCACCAAACGCUGGUGGUUGUUUCUUGUUGUAAGUGAAUGCAACGAAAAGACCCGGAAAUAACGAAUAAUGAAACAAUUCAUAUAUUGGCAUUUCGUGCUUAUUUCUAAAAUUCUGCUUUGUUAUUCCCAUCAUCCGGUAACCACAGGAUGAUCCACAAGAAAGGUGGCAGGAUUCGAACCUAUGGCCGGCCCGACCCUGACCUGGGGGUUGGGUGGCUGGCUCCGCACCUCGCUAAGCGCUAAGCUAUAGAGUCAGUAUCUAUAUCGGUCCUAAAUCUUACCUUGAGACCUUACUUUGCAAGGACAAAAAGGCCUGGGAUCGUACUCCGCCCCCUCUUAGAUCGUCUAAGCAUAGAGCUUUUCCAAGGACUCUUCCCCCGUGGCGGUAUGCGAAUUUUCGAGGGCCCGAGCUCCCCGCCCCAUCCAAUCUCCCGUUGGAUCAAGGUCUGCCAUUUGUUGGAUAAUCUCAACCUUGACCUCGAAAAGAUCUUCGGCUUGAAUACGAGCCAUUUGUAUGACCUCGGCAGAGGGAGAAGAGUUGUUCGCCAAAAGGCGACGUUGGAUGGAUAGAACGCAAUCCCCCCUAUAAUUUCAUCUUCUUGAUACGGAUAGGGGACUACUGGGGGGUCCGAUUAGAUGGACCAGCUUCCUCCCCCGGGGAAGCGACUGGAUUAGCGGGGGGCGCAGGCCUUUCUUCUGGCUGAUUCACCGAUGUGCCCUCGGGUUCGGUUUCGAAAAAGGGCUCUAAUAGGACCCGAAUCCCGAAAGAAUCCUCGUCCCUCGCGGAUGAGCUUGACGCGCCCGAAGCGCUUGACGGAGCCAUUGUGGUACCCCAGCUUCCGGUCUCGCUAUCAAAAAGAAAAAAAGCGUGACCAAAAAGAGACCUCCGGUCCACCACCCGAGCCGACUAAAGAGGAAGUGGAAAGAUUUUCCCAAUAGGAAUUCUUUCACCCUCACUAACAGGAUAUUCAAAUCAAAGUUGAGUUGAAUGAGACAGUAGCACACAGCCAGCAAAAACAAAACUAUCGAAAUUCUGACCCAAUAAUUAGACACUCGAAGUCCUUGAAAUAUAAACGUAAUCCUCAAAAAAAUUUCCAUUUUGAUUGCCCCAUUGGGGCUUCACCACAAAAGGGCUAUGGGAGUCGAACCCAAUUCUACCAAAACCCCCGAUAAGCAAAAGCAAGAAUGAAACUGGCAUACCUUUUAUCUACCUCUCUUGCUUCUCUUAUGAAAUUGAUAAUUAAGAUCAUCUACAUUUUUCAUACCUAAAAGCAGCCUCUCUCUUUUAUACGUUAGGACCAAACUCAACUGAUUCACCUCAAGCAAUCACGGCUUCUUCAACGGGUGAAGAAGUAGAACUUUCUUUCGCCUGGUUACGAUCUGAUCUGUCUAUUCUAUGAAAUUUCGAGUUAGCGCGGAGUGGGAAAAGAAAGAGAGAACAAGCGUUAUCGCACAACCCUCGAGGCGAAUCUAUCUAUCUAAUAGCGGUCGAUUAGCGAAAUGAAAUCAAUGGCACAGCGUCCGAUUCGAUCACUCUAUCGAGUAGAAGUACAGGGAUGAUUCAAUCGAUUCCUCCUUGAAGGUUUUAAUCAAACUACCUUCCUAAUCUGAGAUGAAAAGGCAAGAAAUUUGUUAGCUUUCUUGGCUUAACGACUAUUCGGCUUAAGGAGUUUACUACUUACAAGGCCUAUAUUUCUUAAAAAAAGACGAGAUGAGAUCCUGUGGCCGAAGUACCAAACCCAAAAAGAACAAGUUGAAUCAGAUUCUCGCUCAAAGCCUAUUCUCGAGGCACUUUUUCUCUUAUAGCGGAAUUCCCCUUCACUUGCCAAACCUUCUUCUUCAUGGUCCUAUCGAACCAGACACUGAAUACCUGGCCUUACCCAAGCCCAAGUCUAGUUUCGAAUCUAGUCUCGGCAUCAAUCCGUGAAAGCCUUCAAGCUCAAUCCCUUCCUUCUAGGCUUCCCCGCUCUUUGGGAUAGCAGAAAUACUAAAGAUCGUGGCAUCCCUCAGUUCUUUUAACACAAGCCAUUACUUAACUAAAUUACUUUUAUAGUAAAUACCUUCUCUUCCUCAAGCUAGUACCAAAAAGCCUAUUCCGAAAGCCGUCUUUCAAUGCCUGUGCCCCAAAAGAAUCCUAGGUUCAAGGGUACGCACCUACUAGCUGCGAGCCUAAGAUCAAAGGCAGUUCCAAAAAGGAGUUCCCUAUUUCCAGCUUGAUAAAGUUUAGUCUUAGUGCCAGUUGUAAGGUUAGGAAAGCCAGGUAUGAUGAAAUCUUCUUUUCGAAUAGGAAUUGAUUUGAUGUUAUUAUUAUAAUAUGAAGAUUCAACUGAAUAUACUGUUUUCAAGAAGGAAUCGCCAUCACCAGUGGAAGUUGAACCCGGCGAUCUCUUCCUCCUGAAGUAUGGAAAAAGGAAGAAAAACCAGUCAACCACAGGGAAUGAAGCACAAGAAAGGAGGUAUAGCUCAAGUUUCUUACCUCUUCCUCAAUCCAGUAGCGAGGUUUCAACGAGUUCUUUGUACGCGUGUAACGCCAGUGCCGAUAGCCUCUUCCCAAAGUCAGAAGAAAGUAUUUACAAGCAUCAGCGGCCAGGCAGAAAGCCCCUGUUCCCUACGAAAAGGUUCGAUAGCCACUUCAAAGAUAGAGUAAGGGCAGAUACUAAAACCCUACUAAUUAAUAAUUAAUUUAAUAAGGCGUUUCAGACGUUUUAUAAGACCUUUCUAUCAGUGGUCCACUUUCAUCCAGCUUGAAAUAAACAUCCCCGCCUCUCGUCUAACUCGAGUUGCUCCGCCCCUUUGGCAGUUAAAGUAGCUCGCUUCAAGAAGUAAGAUCAUAUGAUAAUGGAAGGUAUGUUACGAGCAGAAGUUCUCUUUCUAGUGGAAGUAAGAGUAGCAAAGUUAGGACCGCAUAUAAUAGGGGGUACGAAAGAAAUUAGAUUCCCCAGAAGUUGUCCAGUUGGGAAAGCCAGAACUCUUGUAAACCCGCUUGAUAAAUGGUAGUGGUAGGGACAGUCUCAGUACCACUAAAAGUGCGAUAGUCCUUCAAGCAAGGGACUUGGGCAAACAAAGUCCUUACUCGUAUUCCACCAACUACUCGUGUAUCGUAUAGAGCUUUUUCCUAUCCUUUCUGCAUAGACUUGCUUCGCACCUGUGUCCAAAGCCAGUUUUACUCAAGAGUAAGAAUGAUAAGGCAUUUUGCAAGCUUGAAUCCCUAUAAAAAGCCCCUUAAAGCUUUAGCUUGAAAAGAAAAGUAACCUCUCCCCUCCAAACUAUUCUAGACCAGUUUCAGUCCCAGCGAGUGAGUCAGUCAAUCCUGUUCGAAAUCUAGCGCCCGCUCUCUCUCCAGUAUACGUGUAGGGGAAGCACCAAUGAAAGUUCACCUUUAUCGUUUCCUUUGCUCUUAGAACCGAUUGGAAGGAAGGCAGUAGCUCCUCCUACAUACGAGUAGGGAUAUUCUGAACUAAGGUAUGAUUCUAUUUUAUUUUCCUUUGACAGACAAAGUUCUAGUAGCUUAUUCCAUUUGUAAGGUUCGAUGAAAUCUUCUUAGAUUCAUCCUUUCCCAGUUCUAGUUAUUGUUGGUUCAAGCUCUCAUCUCAAGUAAGCAAAAGUAGGGAAUUGAAAGAAGUGGGCUCGAUCAAAAUAGAGUUUUAUCCUAUUCAUUGCUUAACAUUUCUAAUCAAUCAAGCCUCUCGCUUCAAAGCCCGUCCUUGUGUAUCCUUCAACGUCUGUCCCAGCAAUAGUAUGGUCGCGAACGAGAGAAGACCAACCAAGCCAGCCCACGAGCGCUAUUGAUGUUCGAAAAAAGUCUCAGUCCCAAUUCGUUUUCGAGAAUCCCUGAAGCAAGGAAGCGUCUCUUUUCAUAGCCCUUAAUUAAUGGUUUUUUUUUACCCGUAAAGCUAGGAAGAUUGCUUAUGCGAGUAGGGCUUUAGUAGCUUUUUUAGAUGUUAUAGAUAGCGGUUGAAGUCGAAACGAGAAUAAAAGUAUGUACGAGCGGAAGUUUUCAUGCCAGCAAGUGCCUUUGUUUCGGGAAAGGCCAAUACCCUUCUUGUAGUGUAUAGUGGGGAAUCCAGUUGAAGCUAUACCGUAGUGGAGGUAGAGUUUAGUAAGUAGGCCUAGUUCCCUCCUUCCCAUUUCAUAACAAGUAUAGCCAGCUCUAUUGCAAGCCCGGACUUGUUUACCCGAAAAUAAGUCCAAUAAUAAGCUAUCAAACCAGCUCCUGUCAUGUGCGAUAGUCCCGGAAGUACGCCAUAAAGUAGGAAGCCAGCUAAGAACUUAUGCUUUUAGUCCGUUAGUGAUAGUAGGAAUGCCAUUCAGCCAGUAGGAAUUCAUUAGGUCUUCCAAGCGAAGGAGUAGCAAUCCGGUUCAAAGCCUGUAGUACGCUUGUUAACACGUAUGGGAUAUAGAAUCUUUUUCCUAGUAGGACGGUCUCAGUUCAUGGCCUUUCGCCUCUGAAAGCGUCCUUCCUUCUCAAUGCUCGGGCAUCCAUCCAAUGCAUUCUUUUCGAUCUUGUACCCACGGUACACUGAACACCAACCCAAUAAAAAGGAAAAAAAAACUACAAGCAACAGAAAGCUUUUUUUCUUUUUCUUUCUUUAGGAUAGCUUCUCCUUACUGAUCACUUACUUACAGUCCUAAUUCAUAAUUUCUGGACAAGAUUGUAUUGGCAGUACCGGAACAUGCCGCGUUGAGCUUGGUUCCGAGAUUCUAGUCUACUUCCUUAAUCCUAACAUCAGCGCUUUCGGAUAUCAUCUACGAUAUUUGUGAUGAGUCUUUGGAACCUGAUAUCCUUCUUCUCACUUGUAACUGACUGACUGAACUAAUAGGGUACCACUUUCCUUCAUAUUAUUUGCAUAACCGUAACUAGCUUCCAGGUAGCUCUUUCGCCCCGCCAUUCUUUCUUCUCUUACUUGCUUGUGAAUUACAGUGAGUAGUAGAGGUGCUCAUGGGUCGGGCAGCCCGGCCCGGCUCGACGGCCCGCCUGAAAUAUGGGAGGGUUUAGGUAAAAAUAUAGGCCCGAAAUAUGGGCUUGGGCAAAAAAAAUGAGGCCCGUUUAGAAAACGGGCCGGGCCUCGGGCACCACUUUUUCGGCCCGGGCCUGGCCUGGCCCGAUAUAAUAAAUAUAUUAUUUUUUAAUUUUAAAAUAUUUUAAAAUACUUUUUAAUUUUUUAAAAUUUAAAAUAUUUUAAAAUACUUUUUUAAUUUUUAAUUUUAAAAUAUUUUUUAAUUUUUUAAUUUUAAAAUAUUUUAAAAAUACUUUUUUUAAUUUUUUAAAAUUUUUAAAAUAAAAAUGGGCCGGGCCAGGCCCGGGCUUAUGAUUUUUUUCCCGGGCCGGGCCUGGGCAAAAUCUUAGGCCCAUAUUUUGGGCUGAGCCGAGCCCGGGCCUAGGACCCGGGCCAAAAAUUUUUUAUGGGUCCGGCCCGGCCCAUGAGCACCUCUAGUGAAUAGCAAGCAAGCGAACGGAGCGUAGCAUAGUUCGCGAUAAGCUAGUCAGCAGGAAUAGCGGCCUUUCCGCUGCUAGGUCUAGUCGGCAAUUCAGCUGCUAGGAUGAGGGACACGAACGCAUUAAGAAGCCAAGUGAACUCCCUCUAAGCAGUACAAGUCCUUCUUUCGUUUCCGCUGUGAGAUCUUUCACCCCACGCCAACCAAAAAGGCAGGUUCAUUAACCCCGCGAGGGUAAUUAUUUCGCUUCUAGAGCGCUCAGCCCUAUGUCAGAAAGAGAUUGAUGGCACAUUCCGGCUAAGAAAAUGAGUGAAAUCCGUUUUUGCAUAGCUUGCAUUCUCUUUAUUCGCCAAUGAACAUCUACCUUUCGUCUGUAACGUGCAUUUUUUGCUUUAUUUAAUGGAUCUCGAACUUGAGUGAAAGCCAAUGCGUUUUUCGAAAGGGGGUCUUGAAAAAAAAGGCCUACCCCUUGGCAGGAGAUGUUGAAGUUGCGCAUGAAGUAGUCUCUAUCUCCCGGUCGGAGACAAGUGAUGGAUGUCGCUAGGCUAGGUCAACUCUAUCAUUGGUUUAAUUAUCCCUAUUUCGAUCACUAGAAAAAGAUAUGUGCUACUACUAUCCCGAUGCAGCGAAGCUAGGUGGUGCUAUUAUGGCGGGGGAAGGGUCUACUUCUGCUCCAUCGGAAUGCUUUUGGUGGCAGGUCUUUCUAUUACCGAUAUGGACCUCACUAGCGGGUCUCAUUCUGUACCUAGGUAAAUGAUCUAUAUAACUAAGGUCAGUAUAUGAAUCUGCUGCUCUUUUAUCUCUGGUGUUGGAUCACCUACUCACUACUGCGCUGCGACAAGGACUGGAACUGCCUCUGCUUUUGGACCUUUGAUUAAUUAACCUCUCUUUUGUUUAUUGACCUCCUAUUUCUUUGUAUUAACCCUAAAAACAAACUAGAGGUCAAAUUCAGACUUUAGACUGCUGUUCAAUUAUUUCAUUGUCAUUCUCGAUCUAACAAGAAUGGAAUCACGCUCUGUAGGAUUUGAACCUACGACAUCGGGUUUUGGAGACCCGCGUUCUACCGAACUGAACUAAGAGCGCUUUUUAUUUUCAUAAUAAAAACAUAAUAAUAAUAAAUUUUAUGUGACCCCAAUACAUCUUGCAUGCAUAAGAUAAUUAUAUAAUAAAGAAGCCCUUGGCAUAGAAGCUGUGAAAGAAUAGGCUGCUGGAGGAAGAACCGCCCAAAAGCGGGAGAGAAGCGGAACGGGCAAGUCAGCCAGAGCUACUUUGAGGGAAGCCAGCUCCUCAUCUGACUUUGAAGGUCGGUGUCGAGGAAUGGCAUGGUCUCCGGGAGAAAGAAAGCCAAAGGAGCGAAAAGCACACCAUCCUAGGUAAGCAGCAUCUUUGAAGCGGCAUCUCACUCAAUAUACGCAAUUCUCAGAUCUGUCUUUUCCGGCCGAUUCCAUGCCACUCUACUUUGGACCCUCUUGCAGGAGCUCGGACUGAGUCUAGUUUAGGUCCAUCCGAGGGUUUGGACGUCACUUCUUCACUUUUCUGCUUUUUUUUUGGAUGGGUGCUCUCCCCCGAGUGAAGGCAUAAGCCGUAGACAGUCACUAGUUUGAUCGCUAUGCCAUUCUCGGCAACGAUGUGGUGAUAGCUGAUCGACGAGUUGCUUCGGUCUACCUUGUUGAAUCAUCUACAUUGAUUGAGGACUCGAUGUCAGAAUGCAUUCUUCCCUGUUGUAGAAGUUUUCAUAUAGUUCUUGUAGCUAGUCGUAGAUGCAUAUUCUAGCUGCUAUCAGAUCAGAGGUUCGGGGAUUUUUAACUAGAUUUUAAAAUAUAUAUUCAUUUCAUUCCUGUUGGAUCUCUUGCUUUCAAGUUCUCUUAGUUUCUAUGUAACUCAAUCAGGACGUAGAUGUAGAUACGGAUAGGGGUCAACCGGGUAACCAAUCCCGGUGGCUGGAUGACUCAUUUACCCUUAAAUCGCAAGACUAAGGCCAACGAGGCGGAACCUCGGUGGCGUGAUAGGCUGGUUCUCACCAGGGUCAGUCCUCUCACAAAAUUUAAGUUUCUAACCUCACUCUACUUGGUAAGGCAGAGCCCUAUGUUAGUCACAUAGGCAACCCCCAAUGGGUUUCUUAGUGAAACUCAUCAAGGUGAGGUUUGGUGGGCUAGCUUAUAGCUAUUCUAUCACUCAGGGAUCCAGAAUGGAGCAACUGGGGGUGACGCGGAAGCCACCCGGGUGGGGCUGGUAAGAUAUGAUAUCAAGCGGCCUCAUGCAGGUAACCAAACCUGCGUAGGAAGCUUAUUUAGAUAAAUGGCUUCCAUCUGGAAUACCUUUUUGAUAGGAUAUCUAUAGUUAGACUCAUCAAAUGGUGGAAGAUCUUAGAAGAUCUUCGGCUACUAAAGUCAAUAUAAGUUGAUUUUUGUAGUCACUGAUGGUCUAACCUAACCAAGGAGCUCUGUAUCGGAGCAUACCUCUUUGCCAAGCAGGUAGUUUAUAUGAAUCGCCGGUCAGGCGCUCUGUUCACUGCCUUAUAUCUGAAGCUAAGUCCUUCUUUAAACUCCAUGAUGGGCUUGUAGACAUCCUAAUAGGUCAAUUUUCAAGAACUUGGAUUUGAGAUCUGUUCGCGCUUGAAAUUGGCUCAUUUAAGCUUAUACAUAUAAUCCAUUACGCAUUAGCUAGGGGUGAGCAAAACUCGAUUCGACUCGAAAAAAUCGAAAAAAAAUUCAAAUUUCGAGUUAAACGAAUCGAGUUAUUCGAAUCAACUUGAAUUUUUUUUCGAAUUUCGAGUUCGAAUCAAGUUGAGUUUUCGAAUUCGAAUAACUCGAAUAAUUCGAAUAAUUCGAAUAUCAAACUAUAAUAUUUUACAUUUUUACCCUAAAUUCCCAAACCUUUUUAUUUUUCCCUCAAAACUUUUACUCCUUCCCAUUUCCCCCCAAAACUUUUACUCCCCUCCCCUCCCAACCCCCUAAUCUACCCAAAAUCCAUUUUCCACCAAAAUUUUACUCCCAAAAACCCUCAAAACCUUUUAUUUUCCCCCAAAAUUUUUACUCCCUCCCACUUUUCCCCUAAAACUUUUAUUCUCUUCCCAUCCCACCUCCCAUCUACUCCAAACCCUCCCCCCUCCAAAUUUUUUUUUAAUAUUUUCCCUCCAAAAUUUUACUCCCCCUAUUUACUUUCCCUCAAACUUUUAUUCCCCAAAACUUUUUAUUUUCCCCCUAAACUUUUACUUCUCACCCUUUACUCUCAAAGAAAAAAUCAAAAUUAUCCAAAAAAAAAUCACUAAGCAUUGAACACCUCGAGUUAUUUUAUUUANNNNNNNNNNNNNNNNNNNNNNNNNNNNNNNNNNNNNNNNNNNNNNNNNNNNNNNNNNNNNNNNNNNNNNNNNNNNNNNNNNNNNNNNNNNNNNNNNNNNNNNNNNNNNNNNNNNNNNNNNNNNNNNNNNNNNNNNNNNNNNNNNNNNNNNNNNNNNNNNNNNNNNNNNNNNNNNNNNNNNNNNNNNNNNNNNNNNNNNNNNNNNNNNNNNNNNNNNNNNNNNNNNNNAGUGACAAGAAUCUGAAGAUAAUUGAAACAACUAAGCAGGCAAAGAAGCUAACCAGUAUAUAAAAAAUUAAUAAAUAAAUUAUGAGGUGAUAAAAGUUAAUAAAAAUUUUGAUUAAGGUGGUCAAAUUUUAUUACGAUGGGUGACAAUGGUUACAAGGACCCAAAAUUAUUUUUUAAAAUUUAACUCGAACAAAUAUAUUCGAUUCGAUUCGAUUCGAAUUCCAUCUCACUCGACUCGAUUCGAGAAAACUUCAAAUAAAGUUAGGAUGAUAAAAUGAGAUUCGAAAACUCGAUUAACUCAAAAAUUUUCGAUUCGAUUCGAUUCGAUCGAAUACUCACCCCUAGCAUUAGCUUCAAGUUUUGGUUUCUUGGGCCAAGAAUUCCAAUAUUGAAAUCUUCGUUUUCUUGGUUCUUGAAAUCACCUAAAAUAUCAAAAUUGGACUAAGAUUUGAUUUCUUGAUUUUCUUGAAAAUAAGAAAGUGAAUCUUGAUUUUCUUUUCUCCUCGUAUGUGCUCCUAAGGCCUUUGUAGCAAAGUCUUGGAUAGUCCCAUUCAAUCUUUCCUUGACAUGCUUUGCUUUUGACCUUGUUAUUAGGCCUUGAUUUAAAAAAUGCAAAGACCUGUUCUUGAUGGAUUUGGAACAAUUCCAAGCUAGCAAUUAAGGGAAAGCAAUCGGUUAAAACAUAUUUGAAAGAACAACGAUUAAAAUCAAAUGAAAUCAAAAGAAAAGGUAAAAAUAAAAUUCGCCCAAACAAGAAUAAUGGAAACCCAGAUGCUUGGAUGUUAUGGUAAAAAAUUAACAGUAAAUGGGUCGUUAAAGGUAGUUAAUUCAGAUAUGCGUUUUAAGCAAAAAGAAAAUUGUUAGUGAAACGGUGCGUUUCAGAGAAGGGUUAAUGGGUGUUGCGUUUUGUUAAAUGGUGCACUUCACCUUUUAAUAAAACAAUGAGUUUUGGGCUAGGGAUUAACCACUGUCAUGUAACAACUUCCUAACUGAUUUCCUUGUAACUAUCAAUUCUUUCCAUUUUAGAAUUGUUGGAGACGGUAGGCAAUUAGGGAAUAGUUUGAUUGAAAUUCUCUUCCUCUUUAGUGUUCUUUUCUUCUUUUUCUCUCAUUCCUUUUUAGAUCUCUUUCCUCUUUCCGAAACGAUCCGUAACAAAGGUAUCAAAGCCUUGCGAUCCUCAAUGACCAGUGAUAGGAUUACCACCCAUUUGUAGAAAGACAUUGGUCUCCUCCAACAAAAAGUUUCCAAACUCCAAGUAGAAUUCCCAAUGACGAAUCAAUUAUUAACUAGACGGUAUUACCUCUCGGCCUUUACUGCCUAACUAAUCGACCGGUACACGCUUACCUCUUAGCCUCACUUUCCUGACCGGGAUAAAUCCACGAUAUACUCGGUAAGCUUAUCUCUCGAUCCACUUGCCUAUAUUAUUUCUUAGGGUCGUCAAUCCUAGGGUUUAAGCACACAUGAAUUUAUACCAAUAAAUUCAUGAGAAACCCUCGUUAAUUUCCUAACUACUCACACAUCCACGCAUUAAACUACUUAAUUAAUUAAACAGUUCCAUAACCGAAACAUGCUAGAUAUAAGUAAAGCAUAAUAGUUUAUUCAAUUAUUCAUAAAAACUCUAAUUGAUCAAGUUAAGAAAAAUAUAAGUAAAAGAAUAAGAGAUAGGAAAAAGCUCAUGAAUAAAUAUAAGUGUGGUUCUGGAGCAAUCUCCGCUCGCAAUCAUCUUCACAGCGGAACAGGAAGAAUUCUGAUUACACGAACAUAAAAAUAAACUAAAACUGAAAAACUAAGUAAAAUUGUCUCUACAAGUCGACUCCCCCUCUAAUGGAGUUAUAAGGGCGUUUAUAUAGGCAAAUAUUAUGGUUUUAGGUGCCUAAAAUACCCUUGAUACUUUGAGUGCAAGUAAGAAAUAAAAUCUAAGAAAAUCUACCCAAAAUAUGGUUGUUAACGUUAGCACUAUGUCAUGAUGUCGUCUAGGUUGUGUUGAAACACUGGGAUUCGGUGUUACAACACAAGAGGCAGUGUCGCGACACUAGGUUCCGAUGUUGCAACAUCGAUGCCUAUUUUGUUCCAAGAUUUUGUUUUUUUUUUUGCUUCGAUCUUCAGUGUCUCGAUAUGGUUUUCGUCCUUUAUGUUUUGGGGCCUAAAAUGGCACCCUACACACUCAAAUAACCCGUUAGUCAUUCCCGAGGCCCGAGUUGGCCUAACAGGUUAUCGAAACACUAAAAAAUGCGUAAAAAUGCUUCUUUUGCUAAUAAUUACUUCUAAGCUACUAAAACAGAAAACGAAACAAACUACCAUAAAAUGAAUUGAAAUCAAGCUUAUUACGUGCCGAAAAUAGUCUAAUUUGCCAUAACGAACCGUGGCAGAUCAAACUUAACAACUUGACUGCCUCUAAAUGUGCAAACAUUUGGAGUUGAAAUCAUACAAAUAACUAUAUUUAAAAUUAGUGCAGUAUCUGCAAGUGAACAGGUCAAAUUGUAAUAUAAAUUUGUGUUAUAAUAAAACAUCGAUAAGUAUUCCGAAGAUCAUACCCAAGGGAUUGCAUAUUGGAGAAAUUUAUUAUUAGAUUUCUUGGGCCGUAUGAAAUUAUCGAGAGAGAAUUGGUCAGACAUUACCCCCAGAACUUGAGAAAUUCACAAUUUUUCAUGUUUUGAUGCUACGUCGGUGUAGAUCAGAUCCUUCCCACGUGAUUACUCCCGAUGAAAUUAAAUUUCAACCUGAUUUUUCGUACAAUGAGGAAUCGGUGAAAAUCUUGGCUAGGAAAGUUAAAGAGCUACGAAAUAAACGAGUAUUGUAGUGAAAGUAUAGUGGCACUGACAUGUUAUAGAAGAAGCUAUGUGUGAAACGAAAGAACCGAUGAAAUCUCAAUACCCGAACCUAUUUUCAAGUAAUAAAUUUUGAAGACAAAAUUUUCUUAUGGGGGAGAGUUGCAAUAGCCCAUUUUUUAGUGGUAUCGAAAAUGAUGAUUUUGGAACCCCGUUUUCUAAUGAUCAAGUCAAUAAAUAUUAUUUAUUAAUAUUUACGAGUCUAUUAUAAGGUUAUAUUGAAUUUUGAUCCGGUAAUUUUGUUGAUUGAAUGGUUAAUUAGGAUACAUUGACUAAAUCAUAAAAACCGUAGAAGUUAAUUUCUAUUGAUUUUUAUUAGUUAAAAAAGUUUAAAAGGUGAUUGUUUGAGGUUUUAUGUAGCAAUUAGCUACUUUUUAAUAGGUAGGGCAGUUAUUGCACAUGUUCUUGACGUAGUUUGUGUUAAUUAAGUAAAAUUUAAUAAUAAUAAAAACAUUAAAACAUAAACUAAGGUGAUCUUCAUCCAUUUUUCUUCUCCACCACCGAAAUACCACCAUUGUAGAAAGAAAAGUUUCAAGCAUUCUUAAACAUUCGGCCCUUGCAUGUAAGUGUUUUCAAAGCUCUUUUUCAUAAAUUUUAUAUUUUUGAGAUCGUUAUAAUUUGAUCUAGUUAACUCGGGUACUAAAUCACAAAACUGUUAAAAUUUUGAAAUGUUGUCAUUGAUGGUUUUUUAUGUUUUUUUUUUUUUAUGUUAAAUGGCUUGGUUGUAGGCUUAGAAAUGAUUAAGGAAUAAAUUGUAAAGUGAGGUUUGUUAGUUUUGAGUUUAGGGACUAAAAUAAAAAUAGUUGGAUUCGACUUGAAAUUUCUAUAAUUAUAUAAUUUAGAGGGCUGUAGAAGGAUGUAAUUGAAAAUAAACUAGGAUUCGGUUUCUUGGACCAAGCAUUUCAAGAGUUAAAAUCUUGAUUUUCUUGAUUCUUGAAAUCACUUGAAAUAAAAAAAUUAGACUAAAAUUUAAUUUCUUGAUUUUUUUGAAAACAAGAAGGUGACUCUUGAUUUUCUUUCUUUUGUAUGCGCUUCUGAAGCCUUUGUAACAAAAUCUUAGAGUUUGAUUUGCUUUGCAUUUUUGACAUUAUUAUUGGGGCAUUGAGUUAAAGAAAGUCCAUCACAUCUUUGGCCCGAGACUCACAUCGUUAAAAGCUUAAGCAUAAUAAAUAAAAUAAUAAGUUUCAAGUUAUUUAAAAUAUUUUUAACCCUUCUUUUUCUUAAUCAAAUUUAGAGUGUAAGGAAAAGUGAAAAGUAAAGUUUUGUUUUUUUGGACAAAAAGAUUUUCAUUUCAUAGAACAAUAGUCAUUACAGACAGAGCAACAAUGGCAUUUAGCCAAAGAAAAUGGUUCCCAGCAAUCAAGAUUUCAAACAUAAGUGGUCAACCCCUCCAAAAGUAGAAAAGGAGGAGGAAUCAUCACCAAUCACUUGGGCGUCAGCCACUAAUGUAGAACAUUAGUGCGUAUAAUCCUCAUUAUCGAGCUGCCUCCUUUUCCAUUGAAGACCUUGCUAACAAGAGAGGGAGAAAAACAGUGAAGCACAAGAUAGAGCCAAACAUCAACAAUCGAAAAGCCAAAGACACCGGAAAGAACGAAGGCAUGGAGCCACCUCAGACAAACUGAAAUCAACCACCAGCGACACCAAACCUGGAUUUGUAACCAUACAACGAUUGAAGCGAUAGAGAUCUUGGAAUCUGUCGAAACAAAACAACAAAGCAACAUCUUGAGGCUUUUGGUGCCGCCAACCAUCUACCAUCCAUAGUUACAGCAAAAGCUUUCACCAGAAGCAGGGAACAUCACAGGCGUCAGAAGACCACACCUAUCUCUUUUUAACACCGCUCAGGAGAUAGAGAUGAGCCACAAAAACUCAAACGAGGCCUCCAAAGGGGUUAUUAAACCGAGAGGAGGACAUCAAAACGGAAAAAAAGAAAAAAAAAGAAUUAGGUGAGGGACGACCAACCAUUGACGACAAGUGGUUGGUCAUCUAAAGGCGAACACAGGUAAAGGAAGUUUUGAGCGGCGCUUAAAGGUGAGAGAGAAAAUUGAGUUUAGUAACGGUGAGUUUGGAUGAGAGAUUGGAUACGGUGUGAUGCGUUUAGCUUAUUUUUUGUCUCACGUUACAGUAUCGUUAUAGUAUCUAAUUUUACCGCCACCACUAUUUUUACACUAACUGCAAGUAAACGCACUGUCUAUCCAAAUUCACCCUAAGAGAAAAAAGAAUGUUGCUUCUCCUAUUUGUCAAAAUUGAAUUUUAUGUUAACUAAUUUAGUUUUUAAGUUUUGAAGGGUUUGCAUUUUUUAUAAUAUAUAGGGGUUAGUAUUUGGUGAAUUAUAUUUUUUUUAUUCUACAAGUAGCUUUAAAAAAUUCUCAUAUGUCUCUCUUUUCUUUAAUAUUUUAGUAUACUUCUAUAGGACAUUUAUAACACCUUUACUC
rnacentral:lncRNA from 1 species